rnacentral:lncRNA from 1 species
AAAAUAAUGUAAUUUUGGGAGCGUUUUGAUUAUUGCCAUCGAGUGACAUUUGAAUAGCAGAGGGAUGUAGCUCAAAAGGGAGAGGUCUUGUUUGGCAUGGUAUCAAGUUCUUGUCAUCUUAAAAAAUAUUAUUGCCACAUGAGUUCUAAUAGUGGCUUUUAAAAAUUUGUGUGAGAAGUAUAUUGUUAGCUAGUUUUCAAAUUGUAUCAAUUGAUGCAUGUGUAAGGCUUAAGUAGCUUGGCGAUUAUUUUACUUGAAACUAACACUCUCAACUGAGGAAUUUUAUCCCUUGACUAAGGUUGGAUUGUCAAGGCGCCCUUGAGGCUUGACUCAAGUGGUAAAGGGUUGGGGUGGGUUUACAGGAGGUUCCAGAUUCAAGUCCCAAUAGGGAUAAAAAGAAAAAAGAAAAAAACAAAUUACCUAUCAAAAAAAAAAAAAAAAGGUUGCAUUGUCAAGGCUUCUUAAUGACAUUUUCCUAAUAGAUGAUAAAAGGUGUACAUUUAAGGCACCAAAAGUAGGUGAAUCCUAGUAAACAUGCAGUGAAAAAAGAAUCAUCUAAUCAGUCUGGAAAGGAAAAAAAUGGGGGACUACUGGUGCCCAACACUUACAAGAACCAUUUGCCCAAUCCUUCUGUGUCAGCAAAACGAAAAUGAUAUAUUUUUUCCUCCACAAAGUCAACUAUCAACCACAUGAACAACCAAGGCUUAAGGAAAUAUAUAUGAGCUUUAAAACAUAGAGCUAAACCCCAUCAAGAACCCUUUGAUUCGUUUCUUUCUAUAAACAUCCACAAACACUCAAAGCGGUUGUCCUGCAAAAUUUCCUCCUCUUUCAUAGUGAACUUCCUUUCCAAAACAUUAGGGAAUUUUUUAGUAGUGGCAGGAAAAGCUCAAUAGAUCCCAAAUAGAGAAUAGAUAAAAGCCCAAAGUGUUGGAGAAGAUUAUGAUUGAUGAGUCCUCUAUUUUUGAAAACCAGUCACCACUUCCCCAUGAUGUGGUCUCCAAAUUCUCAAUUAGUCUAAUAUAAAUAUCUCAAUGGCAUUUAAAUCUUAUAUUUUCUAAUAAAACAUUGUUCUGAUAACAUGGAGCCCUGGUGGCAUUUAAAAAUUAUAGGGACAACAGCUUGAGUAUUUCUUGAUGUUUGGAGAAAAAUUUUCUGUCAUAAUUAUAUAUCAUUGAUUUUUUUAUGGUGAAAAUUGCUGAAGAUGUUUACUGUUUGUUGUGAAGCUCACACGACAAAGGUCUCUCGCAAUGCAAAUAUGGCCAAACUUCAAGCUGGUUAUUUGUUUCCAGAGGUCUGUGAUGCACUUGCAUUUAUUUUCUGUAAUGCUCUAAUUUAUUAUUGAUUGUUAACUUCCAUUUACUUGUCUUGGAAUUAAUAUAGUAGUACACUAAAAUUUUCUUCAUAUCAUGGGACACAUAUUUCUUGUUGAACUUAAUGACUCUGGGUCUGUUUAAUUUGUCUCACUUUUCCAAAAAUACUAGUUAAUUCGUCUUUCAACUUGAGCUACUUUUCUAAUAUGUUUUGAAAUAGGAUGGGUUGGAUGAGGAAUAAGGUAACCUAUUCUUUUUUUAACGAGCUGUUGCGCUCCCCUUUGUUAGGCGUUGUUGAUAUAAUUGAUCUUUGCCUAUCCCAAAAAAAAAAAAAAAAAAAAUCCAUCUUACUUUGAGAUUGAGAACUUGAAUUUCUGACUGAGAAUUUUUGUCCAUAAAAGUGGAUGUAUCUUUAAAUUGUUUGGUAUGAUUCCAGUACAAAAUGGCAAAAACUACUGAUGUGAUUCACCUGUAUGUUGUGUGGUUUUGGAUCUGCAAUCUGUCGUCUAAGUUAUUUUUUAUUUUACAAUUUAUUCAUAGUUAAUGAGAAUUACUAUAUCCAGAUGGAGAGUAAGAUGUCCUGAUUAAUUGCAAUGUUUUAUGAAAAAAAUUGAUGCAGGAAGAGAUUAUCUAGGAAGUUUUCAAUAUCUUCUGCACCUUAAUUUUUUUUUUCCUUUUUGGUAUUGGUCUGUUAGUUUUGAACUAUUGUAUGGUUUAUCCAAAGUGGUCCAUGCACAGGGAUAGAAAGAGAAAAUCUUGUGAGUAUCUCUAUUUUGAUUUUUCAGGUUGUUUGUGUAUUAGAAUAGGAGUUACAUCUAUUUGCUUCCAGUAUGCUCUCUCUCUCUCUCCAUGCUUGUGUCUCUGCCUGUCUAUUCCAAAUUUGUCUAUUGAUUAGUGGGAUUUGUAAGUUGGCUGAUUUUAUCUGUCUUCUAAUUAUACAUUAGAUAUUUUGUAAUUUAUAGCAAUUGCUUUUCUUGGAUUAUUAGAUAGCCAGAAGAAGGUCAGCACACAUGCUAAAGUACCCUGAUGCACAAGUGAUAAGCCUUGGAAUUGGUGACACUACUGAGCCCAUUCCAGAAGUUAUAACUUCUGGUAUGGCAAAGGUAUUUGUCAAUUUUCAUUCAUUGAAAUUUCUUUUCUUGCAAGGCUUUUGCCCAAAGAGCUUUACUACUACAACAUUUAAUGAUGUGCUGCUGUUGUUGUUAUUAAAAUCCUCGCUAUUGGAUUUUCAAAUUAAGUGCUUUUCUUUUCUUUAAAGAAAAGAUUGUUCAGGCAUUCAAAACAUCAUGCUGCUCCACCCUGUUCUGCAAAACUGGUAUUGAAUUGGAUGCUUGUUAUUCCUUAUUAAAAUUAGACAUUUAACUUGUUGACAUCUGCUUACGGAGCAGCUUUUGUCUAGAAGUAAAGAUGAUGUGUUGCAUUAAAAAAAGAAUGACUAGAACUUUCUCAACAGUGCAAUGAUAGGUUUAUUUUCUUUUAGAACUUAAAUCCUUACUUGGGAUUUUAGUCAUCAAAAAAGCAAAAAAAAUUCUUGCAUGGGAUUUUCAUGCAACCCUAUUUCUUUUGAACUGAAAGAUGUUUUCUAAUCUUAACUAUAAUGAAAUCUAUCUAUUGAGCCAGUUAAGGCAUGGUGGUGGUGAGUGCCUUUAUAAACUAGUUACUCCUUUCACGUGGAAGUGUGUCUCCAACCUGGUUCGGUCACAGUUAAAACCAAAAUAAGCUUAAGAUCCUAUAAAAAAACUAGUCUGGGGUCAGCACUCCAUAGAUGAUGGAUCUGGGAACUGGGGUGUCAUUAACAUCAAAUCCUACCAGAGAUUCUUUAUUUCAGCCUAUUUUUUUAGUUCCCUUCCUUUUCUGUUCCUGGUUUUGCUUUGCUCACCUUUCCUUUCCUUGAGGGUACUCUUCUAUAUUUAUUCUCCCUUUUGAUAGGCAAAUAGAAAGUAAAACAGCAAACACUUAAAAAAAGUUUCACCCUGGUACACUUGAGAAAGCAAAAAAUAAAAAAUAAAAAAUGAAAAAUAAAAAAGUGAAGGACCACACUAAAGCCAAAACAAGGGCCUUAGCUUACCUCAUUAUAUCAGUGAAAUCUAGAAAAGACAGCCUCCCCUGCCUGACAGAAUCCCUGACCAACAGGACAGAUUUGAGGGGCAUGUAUAAUGUAAUGAAAUAAGCUCCAAUAGGUGGUUCUUUGCACUUCAGUCCUUUUUUCCCAUAAAAUUCCUUGCCAGCAUAACUAAGACUCCCUUGCUGAAUAAAGCAGCACCCAAGAGAGUGCAAGGAUGAAAAGGAAAAGAGCCCAUAGGAUACAAGUCCCUCACUAUUUCUACACGCUCUCUCUCUCUCCCAGUUUCUCUCCCUUUGCCUCUGCUUGUUAUGCCAUGUUAUAGCAAAUGGCAUUUUUGAGGAAACUCCUGAACCAGUUUAACUAUCAAUUUUGCGAUGUAAUAUGCUACUAAACAACAUUAUGAGGAAUGAAUUUUAGAUAAAUACAUUUUCUGAGUGUUUUAUUUGAAUAUUUCUUUUGAAAGAAAAUGUUCUGGAUAAUGUACUCACAUCGCUUGUCAAUUGGACACGGUUGCUCUGCUAUUUUUGCUUGUAUAUUCUUUUUAUUUUAUUUUAUUUUAAAAAUUUUUAUGUUUGCAGAAAGCACAUGCAUUGUCAACACUAGAGGGUUACAGUGGUUAUGGAGCUGAACAAGGUGAAAAAGUAUGUGGCAUUCUUGGGUCUUCUAAUUUAUUUUACAUUUUUGUAAUACAUGAACAUUGCUAUUUCUUUGAUUGCAUUUGAUAAUCUAAGGCUUGGAAAAUGCACUCUUUGCUUACAUGACUAUAUCCGUUCCAUCAUCAGUGACUUUUUCUCAUGUUUAAAUCUUAUCCAUGAACUUACAGAGUUUUCUUGCACAUUCAUAUGUGGAGUGAUAUAUUGAUGCUGUAGUUUUUCUUUGUUUCACAAAGUCAAUGUAGGGUUUUUCUUUUUGGAUGUUUUUAUUUCAUCAGAAUUAAAAGAAAGCAUUAACACACUUCAUUUUUUUUGGUUUCUUUUGGGUUUCUGUCUAUUUGAUUUUCUAAAAAAAGUGUUUUGUUUGCUCUGGACUAUGGUCCUCCGAGUCCUGCAUGGUUUUUUCUAUAUCCUCUUACAUCAUUGGGAGAGUAAUCAUAUGUAAGUUUCUAAAAUUAGGCAUGUGGGGUCAUUGUUUAAAGUAAGGCUAUGGCUAUAGGUCACAAGUAUGUGCCUGUACAUAUACAACUGUGUAGUUUCUUUUCUGAAAAUUAUUGUCAAUUUUUACACAUUAAUUCCUUGAGUAUUAGUUGUUCUUUUGUAUUUUGCUUUUAAUUUUUUAGUUUAAAAAUUUUGUGUAUUUUAUAAUACAUGAUAACAGAUUUUGGAAGCUGACACAUGGUUUGCAUUCACAUCUAAUAAUAGGACGAAAAGGAUGUAAGCUGACACAUGGUUUGAAUUCACUUGUAAUGAUAGGACGAAAAGGAUGUAAUCAUAUUACUUGUCUUUUCGGUUAAAUAUAUAUAAGUAAAUAUUGCUAAAUCAGCUCAACAAAGCCUUAUUUAACUGCUCAAACCUUCUUCAUCUUGCACUUCUAUCAAAGGUCACUGCAAGGAAUUAUAUAUGAUUACAAAUUUUCAGGAUUUCAUGCAUGUAAUGUUCUGGAUAAAUUUUUUAUACUGGCUGUUUACUUGACACCACACUCCUCCAUUUCUGGUUGUGGGAUUGGUUGGGUCAAACUUGAGAUUGUAGCCAUAGCAUGGGUUGAUAUUUUUAGUCCAGAAGUCUUUUUAAGCAUUCAUAAAACUUUUUAAAAGCUCUUGUGAUAUAAGAUUUGAUAUAGUGUUCUCUUAUUUACAAUAAAUGUAAUGGAAGGUGAUGUUGUAACACAAAAUGUUGAAUCCACGCAGCAAUUGAGAGCUGCAAUUGCUUCGACCUUUUAUGGUGACCUCAGCAUAGAGGAAAGUGAUAUAUUUGUCUCUGAUGGUGCAAAAUCUGACAUAUCUCGCCUUCAGGUUUUGUUGUGUUUUGAAUAUUUAUUUUUUCUCUACCUUCCCUUUUUUUUGUUUGUUUUUAUCUGUGUCCCGGUGGAUUGCCUAUAUUUGGUGGAUCUUUACUUAUUGAAUGCAAAAAUGAAUAGUAGUUUGGUUUACAAUUAUUUUUAUUGAUUUACUUUAUUUUAAGUUUCUUAAUUUCUCUGUUUCUCCUUUAUGGCAGGUCAUGUUUGGGUCUAAUGUUACAAUGGCAGUGCAAGACCCAUCAUACCCGGUAGUUCAUUUUUCUGUAUGAUGAUUUAAAAAAUUUUCAUCUCUGUAGUAUAACCAUGUCAGUUUUAUUUAGGUUCCUAAUUAUUUUAUUCAUUUUGAUAUCUAAAAUAAAACUCCCAACAUGAUUCUAGUAUAUCGAUCUGUUUAAUAAAACUUUCACUACGUAUUUUUUGAUAAUUGUAAAUGUAUUAGAUAGAAAGGGAAGCAUAUAUGAUGUAUACAAAGCAUCCAAAAGACCAAAAAGGUGUAGGAACACAAAAAAGGCAGCCACAACCUACAAGGAGCUUACCCAAUCCACAAAUUCUAAUAACGACAAAGAAUUGUUCCCACUGAACAAUCUUACCCACUCCCAAAAAAGGUUCAAGAAAGAACUUUUAAUUGUUUGGUCCUAGUUUUCACAAUUUUUGAAGUUUCUCCUAUUUUUCUCCCUCCAUAUAGUCCAGAAUGCACAUAACAGAGAAACCUUCUCUUUAUUUUCAACUAUGUAUUGUUUCAACAUGGUGUGAUAUUUCUGAGAUGAGGGGCCCAAUCCGCCUGCUCUCUCACUCAGGCCGACACUGGUGUAGGGAUACAUUUGUUUGGGUGGGUCCACUUGGAAAGUUGACUAAAGGACAAUUUAGUGUUUUUCUAACAGUUCAUCUUUUGGCCCCAGAAAAAGUGUCCUAGAUGAUGGUUAGAUUUGUUUAGUUGGGCUGACUUUAGUUGUAACAAUCUACUUGGUUGGAUUUGUUUAUUAAAUGUGAAAAACACCACAUACAUGUAAUGUAAUCCUAUUUAGAUAAUGACUAAAUGUUGGAAUACUUGCAGGCUUAUGUAGACUUAAGUGUUAUCUUGGGCCAGACUGGGCAGUUUCAGAAGGAUGUUGAGAAGUAUGGAAACAUCGAAUACAUGAAGUGUAAUCCAGAGAAUGGUUUCUUUCCUGAUUUAUCUACUGUUUCGCGAACCGAUAUCAUUUUUUUCUGUUCACCAUACAAUCCCACUGGUAAUGCUGCAACAAGGGAGCAACUGACCCGACUUGUACAGUUUGCCAAGGACAAUGGAUCAAUUCUAGUGUAUGAUUCGGGAUAUGCCAUGUAUAUCUCGGAUGACAGCCCAAGGUCCAUCUUUGAAAUUCCUGGAGCCAAAGAGGUAAGUUAGGAGAUUAUGGUUGGUUUUUCUAUCCUACAAGCCUUGCUUUCUAUUCUUCAUAUGUUCUCUUCAUAUUCUAGUUAACUUUCGCCUCUUGGGUAAUUCAGAUAGAUGUUGUUUGACAUUGUGAUGGGGAUGGGAGCUACAGCUCAUUCUACAAUGCAAUUGUGUUUGAGUGUCCUUGCUCAUAACUUUUGAUUUAUGUGAUCUCCAUUCUCAUCAUCUUUUAAACUCUAUUCUGUUGAGCAUGUUAUGAAUAAUGGAUUGUUUCCUGGUUUAUCACAUCAUGUUAGUUUUUUAUAAAAUGUUAUUUUGUUUUUCUUUUUUCAUCAAUUGGUAGAAUUGUGGGGAAUUUUGAUUAAAAAUGUGAUUUUACACUGGUGUUAUGUUGAAACACCUGGGAAAUGAAAUGAUUCACUUGUGUUUUGACAUUUUGAAAGGUUUCUAUUUUAUUGUUUAUGGCAUUUGAAGUGGUCUUUAUUUUGGGGUAGGAUCAGGCAUACUAAAAAGCAUGUCAUAAAUAACCAUUUCACUCAUGGUAAAAAUGCACCAAUAAAAAAGGCUUUUGAACUCUAAUUUCUUAGGGGAAGUGAUUUCAAUUUUACUUCUCCACGUUUUAUCUUUUUUCAAAUUCAUCAAGCAUUAAUUUUUUUUUAAUGGCAAUUCGUCAAUGAUUAAAUGCCUCUUCCGAAUUUAUUAGUUGUAUAAAUUAAACUUGUGGUUAUGCUUUGCAUUUUUUUUGUUACUAUUGUAUUUUCUCUGCUCGUGUCUUUGGAAAAGAAAACUGAAUGGUUUCUUUUCCAUGGACAUCCAUUACCCCUGUACUAAUCUCUAGAAAAAAGGGUUGGAACCGAUCUAUGUAAGGGCUAUGCUUGCUUGAACCUGUUUGUUAAUACCUUUUUAAGCUUUUAUUUUUGUUGGACAUGGCAAGUCUCUUCGCUUUGCAACUGAUAGCAUAGCAAAAUUAAGUUAAGCCUUUGGGUCUAGGAAAUCAGUUUAGGGAGGGGUGAUCAGAACUUUGGGCUGACACUGGGUGUUGUGAAUCUAUUGUCAUGGUCUGAGGGAUGGCAACUGCCCUAUCGGUUUCUUUUAUCAACAACUAUCCUGGGGACUAUAUCUAUGUAGAAUUCAUGUAUAAUUUAUUGGCCUUAUAUGGUGUUGCAGGUUGCAAUUGAGGUAUCAUCAUUUUCCAAAUAUGCUGGGUUCACUGGAGUCCGUCUUGGUUGGACUGUGGUUCCAAAGGAGCUUCUAUAUUCAGAUGGAUUUCCUGUUGCCAAGGACUUUAACCGCAUUGAAUGUACAACCUUCAACGCUGCAUCCAACAUUUCUCAAGCUAGUGGUCUGGCUUGUCUUUCACCAGAAGGCCUAGAGGUCAGUUUUGUGCUAUCAGUUUCUUGUUAUGGUUUCCAUGCUAAAAGUAAUUGAAGCAAAAAUUUGGAAAUCUUAAUAAUUUCAACUCCAAAUAAUUUCUAUAAGAUUUCAAAUUUUCUUUUCCUCAAGUACUAGAAAGAGCAUCCUUCAUACCAAAUCCAAAUACAAAUUUAUGGAUUCUUCUAUUCCCUGCAGGCUAUGCAUAAACUGGUAGGUUUCUACAAAGAAAAUACUAAUAUAAUCAUGGAGACAUUCACUUCUCUUGGUUUUAGCGUGUACGGAGGUAAGAAUGCACCAUAUGUUUGGGUUCAUUUCCCUGGUCAAAGCUCAUGGGACGUGUUCAGCGAGAUACUUGAGAAGACCCAUGUGGUAACAACACCUGGCAGUGGUUUCGGACCAGCUGGUGAUGGUUUCAUUAGGGUUUGUGCUUUUAGUCACAGAGGCAAUGUUCUAGAGGCCUGCAAAAGAUUCAAGCGGUUAUACAAGUGAAGUGUAGUAUGAGAAUGGUUUCAGUUUCAGCAGCCCUCCAUUAUGCUCCAUGUUCUCUGUGAUAGCAGGACUGGAGCAGGAUUCGUAUCUUAUGUAUCUCCCUCGUUAUUUCUUAUCAGAUUCUAUUUUUAAUUUGGUGUAGAACCUAGUAACUUUUACAAAGAUUGAUUUUGAAUUGGUAUACCCUGAUCCAUUUGUAAGGGUCCAAAUUUGGUCACUGUUACAAAAGUCGCAUCUUGAAAAGCUUUCCUAGGGACAAAAGUAGCAUAACCCAAGCACAUUUUGAUCAGAGGAGAGCAAUUUUUAACACAGAAACUGAACUCAGCUCCCAACUCAACGGUCUCAGGAUCACUGCCUAAUCUCGGUGGGUUUGUCUUUUGCUGCUCUGCCAUGGCAUAUAUUCCAUCUAAUGCUUUGUUUAGGCAGGGAGCCAAUGAGGACAAAUUUGAUGACCCAUUUUGCAAGAAUGCCAUGGGCUUGAAUCAAAUAACUGUAGUCAGGGAAUGGACCUGCAUCUUUCAGUUGGUGUACACAUCAGCUGCAAGUGUUUAUGGCUAGGGUUUUAUUCACCAGUUGGGCACAAAGUAACAGGGCCACAAAUGGCAUAUUUUGAGGCCAAGAGGAUCACAUAACAGGGAAGGUUUGAGAAUUAAUUUAUUUCUAAAAUCAUUUGUGCCUGUGUAUAGCAGCAAACUAGCAUUUCCCAUUUCUCCAAAGUUCAUUCCAGCUACUGAUACAUUUAAGAUACAAUGGACAUCUAUUUUACAAUACUCCAUUGAAGUAUGCCCUAAACACACCUUAACUAUUCUGUUCCAUGAUAUAAGAACUAAUCCUUCGGGGGUUGAUGAUUUACAAGUACGAAAUUAGAUUGUCUAAAACUGCUCUAUGCUCUUCAUAAUAUCUGCUUUGCAAGUUGUUUUGUAAUGUCCAGUUUGGUUGCACCGGCUACAGUGCACUGUAUGCUUCUCCCUGUUAAGAUCCUCUACGCAUAUUCGCUUCUUUUCAGGGCGUCCUGGCGGUCGACGGAACUUUGGUGGUCGCACAACUGGAGUGUCAUCAUCCACAGGAGCCUCAACUGUUCUUCUCCACUCUAUUUUACAGGGAAUGGGGCGUAUCUCUUCUGAAUAUGCCGCACGAUAACUUGCCACAGUGAAACACUUCUCUGUAAAUGCGUACACAUCUUUUCUACAUGAGAGGAGGGCUGCAACAGCAUGGGAGCAUGGGAUUCCAUAGAGUUGCCAAUCACGGCAGGAACAGCACUGAGUCCCUAUGUUCACAAUGUCUGAUCGCUCGGCUGAUAGAACCUCAAAUUCUACUUCAUCUGAUCUAAGAACUUGAUAUGUUGAUGCACGGCCAAUCGCCUCCAUCAUUCGCUUAUCAGCUGAUGGGGCUAAAACUGAAAACCAUGAAUUGCUCUUUAAACGCCGCUCCUCAAACUCAGCCAUUAGUUUACUGUGAAUCUGCUCAAUCACCUGGAUUAUGGGCAGCUCCCGUGCUUCAAGAAUCCAUUUAUUGAAUUCCUCAAUAUUUGAAGAGAGAUGACCAUAUCGUGUUCCUUCAAAAUACACCAAUGCCCAACGGGAAGUUGGAAACUGUUGAAUCCACUUGGCUGCUUCAGAAGAAACCUCCUCAAUCUCUGCCAUUUUUUCUUUAAAAGCAAUGGUAGUUGUGGCAUAUGCUGCUUUCCAUAGAAGAUGAACAAGCCUUGAGUUCUUAAACUCUUUGCCAAUGCUUUCACUCAAGUGGCGCAUACAGAAAGCAUGGGAAGAAGUUGGGAAUUUCCUCUUUACAGCAUCUUGGAUGCCCUUCUGUCCAUCCGAUAAAAAUGUGAGUUGAGGUACAUUCUCUGUGUUCAUUUCUAGUGCCUUUCGUAACUCUGACAGGAACCACAUCCAGCUCUCAUCAUUUUCUGCAUCAACAACACCAAAUGCAAGUGGAAACAACCCACCAUCAGCGUCAAAAGAAGUGGCUGAAAGUAAGGUGCCAAGGUAUUUGCUCUUGAGCUGGAUUCCACCAAGCCCAACAAUAGGCAAGCAACCAUUUAGAAAACCAUAUAUGGAUGCGUAAAAGGAAACAAAAAGCCGUUGAAACCGGUUAUCUGCACCACUGGUAAACACCUCCGCAACACUUCCAGGGUUGGCUCUCUUUAUUUCCUCACAAUAUGCAGGAAGGAGGCAAUACCCUUCUUCAGAAGAGCCAUAAAUAGCCGCUAGCCCCCGCUCCUUAGCACGCCAGGCUUGCUUAUAAGGUAUAGUGAUCCCAUAUUGUUUAUGAAUGUCAUGCAAUAUAUCCUUUGGUUUGUAAUUUAUAUUAUCUCGCAGUCGUUCCUCUAUGAAACUCACAAUCCAAUCUACAGAAGCCUGAUGAUGCCCAUUUUGUGCAUUUUUUCCACAGGUAUGCGUCCCCUCAAGGCUUCUAAUAGUGAAAGUUGGAGCAUUAGGAAGCUUAACUGCACGGAUACGCCAUGGGCAACCUUCAGUUGCACACUUUGCAAAGUAACGGAUUAAAUCACUUUUUAUAAUACGAAGCUCAAAAUGUUGAGCAAUUGCAGCUUCUUUGAUUGCAUUCCUGAAGGCCUUGACAUCAGCAAACUCUUGACCAACAACAAAAUUGUAGUCCCCCAUGAGCCACACAGAUUCAGGAUCCUGUCUUUCAAUUCUAUGAUCAAGAACUCAGUUUUUUUACUCUUUGGAGGGCAAGAGGGUUACAGAAGACCUUCAAAAUAAAUAGGAACUCGAACUUAAACCUCCUAGACAAACAUUCUAUGGAAUGAUAUCCAGAAUAAAGCUGCAAAAAGUCAAUGAAACACAUUUGAGGCCAUUCACAGAAAAGAAUUUUUUCACCCAAGAAAAAAAUGUAGGUGCAGAGUGACUACUCGCUGUAUUAACUUAGGUGGUUAUGUUAAAUUACUUAGAGGGUGUUUGGUAGAUCAACUUAAUACUUAAUAUGACUUAAAAACGUAAUUUAAGUCAUUAAACAAAUUAAACAUAUUAGGUAAAAUAAUUAAAUGUUACAACUUAGCUUUAAAAAUAACUUCAAAUAUUAAGUUAAAAUAGUUAACUUAUUUUUAAUUUCAAAUCUCUUUUGUUUCAUUUGCCCCAUUUAGUGAGGGUAUAUAUUACAACCAUCACUCCACAUCUGCAACUCGUGUUUUUUACAAUAAAUAUUUUGUGUUCAUCUUAUGUAUCCAUGGUUCCUUAAAUAUAGAUGUUUAACAAACAAAUUUAUUACUUAAAAUUAAUGAAAGUAAAUAUUAGUUAAAAUUAAUACGGGUAAGUAUGUCAAUUUCACGAUUUACAAUAACUUUUACAUUAACUAUAUCAAACAACCUUAAACUUAAAGUAAAAAUCAAGUAAUAAGUUUUAAGUCAACAACUUAAGAAUAAAAUUUAAAGUCAACUUAAGUCAUUAAGUAAUAAGUAUUAAGUUUUAACAAACACUCCCAAACCCUUUUAGUGUAAGUAUUAGCACAUAAGCACAUUGACACACAUGCAAUGUAAAUUUCUCUCCAUUAAUGAAAAAAAUCACUCGUAAAUACAAAAGAUUGCGGGCAUGCUUAAGUAACUUUCUUAGAAAAGAAUCCAAUCUACCUUCACAUGAAAUACAUGAGGACUCGUGUGAAACAAGAAAUAUUGUUCUUGGGAGAUAAUACUCAUAUUUGUCCUUUGACAAGUACUGCGGUUGAUUUAUGAUGAUGCUACUUUGGAAAUAUUGAAGAAACAACAAAUGCUCAUUGCAUCAAGCACCCACCAACAUGAAAUCAAUCACAAAUUGUUAUGUGCAAAAUCGAAAAUCCGAUAACCAUGAAAGGAUUGAUGGAAAUUGCAUUACUGGGUCAUUCUUCUGCAACUAUUACAAUUUGGUACUAAACAAAAUAUUGAUCUUCCCUAAACAAAAAUUCUCACGACUUCCCAUAAUUUCCCUCUGCAGGAACAAAAAAAGUUGGAAAAGUUCAAACUACUAGAGCUGAAUUUGAAGUAAAAGAAAAAAAAAAAGUGAUUUCAAACAAAACCCAUUUCUCAAGCAAUCAAAAUUUAGAUAAGAACAACAACGAAAAAAAUGGAUAAAAAAUUCAUUUCUGUUGCUGCAAAAACGUUUUCAAUUGUACCCGAAAUUUAACAAAUGGAAAAAUCUGAAACUAUCACAGCUAAAUUUAAGUGAAACAAAAGUGAUUCAGUUAAUACCCAUUUCUCAAGAAGUAAGAUUAGGCAACCGAACAACAAAAAUGGAAAAAGCAAAAAAAACAAAUUUUAUUACUACCAAUUACCCAAAUUCAGAAAUUCACGAGAGACUAAAACAACCGCCAAAAUAUAAUCAGAAUCUAGUUUCCGGGAUAUAAGUUGAUCAAAUUAAGCGCAGAAUUGAAUCAAAACCCUAAGUCAAUCUACAAAAAAUAACAAAAAGAAGAAGAAGAAGAAGAGAACACACUGACAGAGCAAACAGAAUCUAAAGAAACACUUCGAGAUCAGAAACUCACCUUGUUGAGGAAGAGUACUAGAGACCCAUAAACGUGUAGAGAGAGAGGAAGCUCAGAAUGAGAGUCAUUGUUUCUAGAGAGAAGAGACUGCAAAGAGGAAAGGGAGGGGGUGAGAAGAGAGGAGGCUUUUUGGCAUUCUGAUGAAAGAUUAGGGUUGAUUAGGUCAUCUUGAGGGUAUAAUUGUCAUUUUGGUAUAAGUUAAGGGGUCGCGGUAGUCCAAGGUGUUGCAAAUUGUAUUUUGGGAUUAAAAGUCAACUCACACCUCUAAUUUUCUUAAAUUUUAUAUAUAUAUUUUUUAUAGGGUUUGGCAUAGAAGUGAACUAGGUUUUUAUUUAUUUUUUAUUUUUUUAUAUAUAAAUAAAAAAUUCAGGAUCUAAAUUUGUUUUUUAAAUAUUCAAAUUUUAGUUUUAUUGGGAAAACAUGAUUUUUAAAUCGAAUAUUAACUACGAUGACAACUUUAACUAAAUUGACGAUUAAUUUAGAACCCAAUCCAAAACAGUCAAUCCGAGUUUAACAUAAUUCGACCUCUAACUUGAGGUAUUCAAUCUAACCUCAUUUAUUUAAGCUCCUAUUAAAUUUGGAUUGAUCAUGAAAUUGCAUAUUUAGAAUCCAUUUAUAUCUUUUAAUAUAUAUAUAUAUAUAUAUAUAUAUAUAUAUAUAUAUAUAUAUAUAUAAAUGAUAAAUAAGAUACAAUUUUAAGAUAAUAACAAAAAAUAAAAAUAAAUUUAUAUAUCUUUUCUAUUAUGAUUUGAUUUUUUUUUAAAUAAUUUAAAACGAAAAUAGAUAUUAUUAUAUAGAAUAAUAUACAUUAUUAUAAAUAUGGUAAAAACAUUAAAUUAAAUUGGUUCCGAAUAGAAUUGAGUUAUCCAAAUUUUAAUCUGAGCUAAAUCCAAAUUAAGUUUAGAUUGAAAAAACUUAUUUCAAAUCAAAUCCAAUAUUACAAAUGAUUUGUUCAAGUCUACUUGAACUGGAUUUAGGUUAAAUUGGGUCAAUCGCCCAAGUUGCACUCCUAAUAUUAACUACAUUUAUUUUAAUAUGUAUUCUAUAAAUCAUUUUAUACUCGUGAUGAUCCAUGAGAGAGAGUAUCCAUAUAGGGAAAAAAAUGGGGAAAAAAAAUGAAAAGAGAAAUAAAAGAGAGUAUCAAUAUUCUUAUCUUUAUUUAUUAAUUAGAAAUAUAUUAAGAGUUCAUUUGAUAAUGAUUUUAGGAAGCGUUUUUAAUAUUUUUAAUAAUUGAAAUUUUUUAUUAUUUAAUUAUUAAAAAUAUUAGAAAUGUAUUUUAGAAUCACUCUCAAAUAUACUCUAAAUAUUUUAAAAUUCUUGGUAUAUUCGAUGUCAUAUUAUUUAAUAUUUUCUGUUUUACAAAGUGAAGAUAUUUGUGAAACGUGUGGUGUAGUUGAUGUGAGAGGUCUGCUGGAACUGGAGAUGAAGCUUUGGAAUAAAUGAGACUCACGGACAAGAAGAUAAGUCUAUAGGCUUCUCCAAGUCCCCAUCUCUGCACCAAAAAAGUAAGCAAGGAGACAAAAGAGAAGAAAUGGGCUCUUGACAAGGAGUCUUGCACCAAAUAAUAAUUUAACAAAAAAAAAAAGAAAAAAAAUAAAUUUAAUCUAGUUUGUUUUAUAUAGAAAGACAUUAUGUAUCAUUUAAAAACAAUUACAUUUUUUUUUAGAAUUUUGACUUUUGAUUUUCAAAAGAUACGUAUUUUGAGAAAAAUAAUAAUGGGAGAAUUGUGUUUUGGGCCUGAUUGGGCCCAAAAAUUAAUAUUUGGUCCUGCAACCAUCCAUAUUUAGGCCCAAGACCCAAACAAAGUAUGAAAAUUAAGAUGAAGGAUAUUGUCUUUCAUUAAUUCCUAAAAUACCCUUGUCCCUUAUAUGCCUACAAGUGAGUGUGAAUUUUAAUUUUUUUUUGUGUUUUUUUUUUCCUUUUCUAUUCCCUAUUAAAUAUUACUCAUUUCUAACUUUUUUUUUCCUUUUUAUUCCAAUAUAUAUUUCUAUUUUAUGUCAAAUAAAAAACAAUAAUAUUUUUUUAUUUUUCAUUUUUAAAGAUAUUGAAGCUUUUUGCUCUUAUUAAAAGCAAUGAUAAAAAUUUUGGGAUUUUUCAUCCAAAUAUUUUUUAUCUUUAUGUAUUUAUCUUUUACUUUAAUUUUCAUUUUUUAUUUUAAAUUUAUAUUACCCUUUCAUCUAUAUUUUUCUCUUAUUUUUUAUAUUUUCUACAUUAACCAUAUUUUAAAAAAAAUUUAAAUUAACUAUCACUUCACUUUAUUAUAUAUAUAUAUAUAUAUAUAUAUAUAUAUAUAUAUAUAUAUAUAUAUAUAUAUAUAUAUAUAUCUUUUUAGCUUUUUAAUUUUUAAUGUUUUUAUUUUAAAAUUUUUUAAAAGAUAAAUUUGUUAAAAAAAAAUAACUAAGAUAUGAAGUUCUAAUAUUAUAUUAAUAAUUUUUCUUAUCUAGAUAGACUAAUGCAAAGUAUUUUGACCCCCAAUACAAUUUUUUAGUUAAACUUUAAAAAUUAAGUUUCAAAUAAAAUAUAUUAUAUAAAAUUUUAUCUAAAAAUUAUUGAAAGUGGUAUUUAAUUUCUUUAUUUAUUGACUUUGAAACUUAUCUAGUUUUUUACUUGAAAGGUAAUAGAACAUGUUUACAAAAAAAAUUAGUUUUUCAUUUUUUAAAUAAAUGAGUAUAAAUAUAUUAAAAAAAAUUAAAGAUAAUCUUAGUAAAAAAUUUGAUGAAUAUGAUUAUAAUUUUAAAUAUAGAUUCAUGUGGAUAAAAUUUCACAAAAAAAAAAAAAAAUAGUGGAAAGAAAGAACAUUGUUAAAACUACAAAAACAAAAUAUGCAAUUACAAAAAUUUGAUGAUGAAAUUUAAAAAUAAAAUUCGAAACAAUUCUUGAGUGAGAGAAUUUGAGUGGGGAAAAAAUAUUUGAGUGGAAAAAAAUAGGAAAGUUUUUCGAAAUCACUUUAAAUCCUUAACAAAAAGUAGUCUUGUACACCCUUAUACAAUUAAUAAAUUUGUCUUGUACAGUUAGUGUAAUACCAUUGUACAGUUAGUAUAAUACCUUUGUACAAUAACUCAAAUUUCAUACAUCAUCUUAUGAAUAUCUAACAAUAGGUCGGUUAACCAUGUUUGCAUCGGUUUGGUUUUAAAAAGGAAAAAAAAUUGUUGUAUAAUUUUGUUUUACAAUCAUCAUAAGUGAGGUACCUAUUAAAAUGACCAUAUACAAGUUAGAUAAAAUACAUGAGAUGAAUGUAUGCUUAACCAAUGUGUGUAAGGAAUGUCAUUUAUCAUUGGUUAAGGGAAAUAAACAAACAAGUUUUUUAGAAUCACUUAAAAUCCUUCACAAAUAAUAGUCUUGUACACGCUUGUACAGUUAGUAUAUUUGUCAUGUACACUUAGUGUAAAUACCUUGUACAGUGACUAAAAAAAAAUGUUAUUUUAUUUUAUUUUCAAUGCAAAAUGUAAUUAAAAAUAAGACAAAGAAAUUACUUAAAAACUAUUAUUUAAGCCAAAUUUAUUUAUUUAUUUCCUUUUAUUUUUGGAAAUAAAGAAAUAAGAAUAAAAAAAUUUAUUUAACCAUAAGAAAUAUGAAUAUAAGAUCAGUUGGAAAAUUCUAAAUUUAUUUAUUUAUUUCAUUUUAUUUUUGGAAUUAAAGAAAUAAAAAAUAAAAAUUUUAUUUAAUCAUAAAAAAUAUUGAUAUAAGAUAUAUUAAAAAAAUAGAAAUAAGCCCAAAUUUAUUUACUUAUUUCAUUUUAUUUAUUAAAUUAGAAAUUAAUUUAUUUUAAUAGAUUAAAAUGUGCACAAUUGAUUUAUUACUUUGUUAAUUAUGGAUAUAUUAAAAUUUUCGAUAAAAAAUAAAUAAAGAAAAUAAAAUUAAAAAGAGUAAUAAAUAUAUAUAAUUUAGUUAUUUAAUUAUUUUUCAUGUAAAAGAUAGUCCCACAAAAAACACAUAAUUGAUCAAUUUCUUUGUUUAAUCGUAAACAUACUAUAUUUUUUAUUUUUAUUAAAAUAACUAAUGAAAAAUAAAAUAAAAAUGGAUAAUCAAUUAAUGAAAUUUAGUUCUUUUUAUUAUUUUCAUAUAAAAAAUAGUACUAAACAAGGUUUUCAAUUUUUAUUUUUUAAAAUAGUUUUCAUUUUUUAAAUAAAUGUUUUUUCAAAAAGAAAAUAUAAAAAAUAUAAAUCAUAUUACUAUUUUUUAGAAAGUAUUUUUUAAAAUAGCUUUCGAACAUAAUUUUUCUUUAUUUAUAAUUUAAAAUAGAAAAUAAUGUUGAUUUUCAAUUAUUUAUAAUAAAAAAUUAAAAUAAUGAAAAAUCCAAAUUGUUAAAAUAGAAUUAUUAGAUAAUGGUGCAAAAAAGACAAAAAAAAAAAAAAAAGUUUAUGUGAAAGGUCAUUGGGUAUUUUUGUCCAUCACUAUUUUAUGUCCUUAAAAGGUAAUGUAUAAAAAUUUGAAGGAUAUAUUGGUCUUUUAACAUCUCAUAUCCUUUCCAUCAAUUAUGGAAGUUAUAUGGACCAAAUGUUAAUUUUUGGGUCCAGUUGGGCUCAAAACACAAUUCUCCCAAUAAUAAUUUAACAAUUAACAAAAAAAAAAAAAAAAUUAAUCUAGUUUGUUAUAUAUAGAAAGACAUUAUGCAUCAUUUAAAAACAAUUACAUUUUUUUUAGAAUUUUGACUUUUGAUUUUCAAAAGAUAUGAAUUUUGAGAAAAAUAACUAUCGAAACAUGCACUCAAAUAAUAAAAAUAAUCAAUAUUUCAAACUUAUCCUCAAACCCUCCUUUCACCCACCGCCAACUAUUAUUAUUAUUUUCUUUUUUUUUUGACCUUUGACAAGACAAAUGAACACAUCGAUAGUCUUUGACACGCGAUAAUCACCAAAUUACAUGAUUUUUCUUUUUUCCUUUUCCACCUUUUAUAAUAUCCUCGUCUUCUUUUUGUUUUGUUUGCUUUUUUUUAAAUAUGUUAGCUUGAUGAAAUCUUUUUAAUUUUUUUUUUAACAUUUCAUCUUUUUGCAUUUAUUAAUUUUAAUUAUUUAUGGAUAUUUUUAAACAUAAAGUAAUAAUAUAUAAUAAAUAAUUAAUGAUAAUAAAUUUAAUAUAAGAAUAAAUACAUGAUGGACAAAUUUAGAGAUUUACGACAUAAAAUUUUCUAUAUUUCUGCUAUAUAAAAUAUUUAUUUAUUUUAUAAAUCUUAUUAUAUUGUCAUAUUAUUUCAUUAUUUAUAUUUUUAAAAUUUUAAAUUUUCAUGUGAAAAUUACAAUUGAUGAUUAUAGUUUUAGUUUUGCUUAUAAAUUUAAUUGACCUAAAUCACAAUUGAGAUUUAGGACAUAAUUUUUUUUCUUGGCUAAAAUGUUUAAUUAUUUUAAUUAAAGAAGAUAAAAAUUUGGUUGUGGUUCUAACAUUUUGUUUUAUUAAAAUUUUUAAUUUUUAAUUUAUAUUUUUCAUAAAAAAAAAUGUAUUUAACCAUUCAUAUUAAUUUUUCUUAAUUUUAUUAAAAAUUAAAAUUUUUAUAUAUUGACAUUGUGCAUCUAUCAACACAACCACCAUAAAAAAAAAGGUACCACUCUUUUAUGAAAGCAGCUACCACUUUUGUUAAGAAAUAUGUGUAUUGAAAAGCAAGAAAAGAGAGAAUAUCUUAUUUAUUGAAUAAAUAACUCAAUGGCUUACAGAGAUAACUCAAACAUAAUUGAAAGUAACCCACAUUCAACAAUCCUAGAAAUGUGAUCAAUGACUAAAGAAUAGAUCAAACUAAACGUCCCUUAUCAAUAGGGAAUGCAAACAAAUCAGUAACAAACUAAUUAAAACAAAUACUUUAACAUCCUCCCUUAAACUGAAUGCUUUAGCAAUCGGUUUACUCUAUGAUUCAAACGCUCUUGCUUAUGACAAUGGACCAUCUAUACAAUUCCAUCUUUUGUGGCCUCACAAAGGAAAUGAAAAUGAAUAUCAAUGUGUUUGUAGCGACCAUGCAUCACUAGAUUCUUAGAAAAGUUUAUUGUUGAACUGUUAUCACAAUAGACUGUUAUGGAAUCAUGUUGAGCAUGACCGAUACCUUCCAAUAUCCUUCUUAACCAUAUUGCUUGACAGAUACAUGAAGUUGCAACAACAAACUCAGCUUCAGUAGUGGACAAGGAGACUAUGGUUGUUUCUUCGAGGACCAAGACAUUACUCCUGAGCUCAACAUAAACACAUAACCUAAAGUGCUUUUCCUAUCGUCUAAAUCCUCAGCAUAAUCAGCAUAAUCACUAUCUGUGUAGGCAAUCAGUUCCUCACUUCCUCCCUCCUUGUAGAACACACCAAAACCAAUGAUACCUUUCAAGUACCUUAGUGUCCUCUUUGUUGCUUGCAAAUGAAGUUCAUUAGGGCAAUCCAUGAAUUUGUUGAUGAGACUCACCAUAAACAUAACAUCUGGUUGAGUGGUAGUCAAGUACAUAAGACUUUCCACAAUCUUCGUAUAGAAAGUAGGGAGAAUUAUCUUUUGGGGGUAGAUGGGCCCCCAAAUUAACAAAGGGUCCAUGUAACUCUUCAAAUUGAGUUGAAGGAUAUGAAAUAGUAACGGACAAAUAUACCCUUUAAGAACACAUAUAAAAUAUUUUAUAAAAUUAAGUUAAAUAAUUUUUUUUCAAUAAUUUUUUUUCAAAAAUACUAAAUUAAAUAAAAGUAGUUUUCAAAAAUAUUAAAUUAAAUAAUUUUUUUUUCAAAAAUAUUAAAUUAAAUUUUUUUUCAAAAAUAUUUAAUUAAAUUAAAGUAUUUAAAAAAAAUAUUAAAUUAAAUAUUUUUAAAAAAAUAUUUUUUUAAAAUAUUAAAUUAAAUAAAUUUAUUUUUAAAAAAUAUUAAAUUAAAUAAAUUUAUUUUAAAAAAAUAUUAAAUUAAAUAAAAGUAUUUUAAAAAAUAUUAAAUUACAUAAAAUUAUUUUUUAAAAUAUUAAAUUAAAUAAAAAAUAUUAAAUUAAAUAAAAGUAUUUUUCAAAAAUAUUAAUUUUUUUUCUCAAAAUCAACAAAUGGCAUUUUUGGAAAUACUAAAGAAUGAUAUCCUUCAACUCAAUUUUCAUACUUUCAUUGGGUCUUGGACUCAAUUUGAAGAGUUAUAUGGACCUUUUGUUAAUUUGGGAGCCCAUCUACCCCCAAAACAUAAUUUUCCCUAGAAAGUAUUGUCAAUUCUUCAUGAUAACAUAACAUCUUUUGUGAUAACGAUUUAACAAUCAAGCUUUCUAAGAAUCUAGUGAUGCAUGGUCACUGCAAACACAUUGAUGUUCGUUUUCAUUUCCUUCGUGAGCUCACAAAAGAUGGAAUUGUAUAGAUGGUUCAUAGUCAUAUGUAGGAGCAAGUUGUUGAUAUAAUGACUAAACCUUUAAAGCUUGAUGCAUUCUUGAAAAUAUGUGAUUUGUUAGGUGUUUGUUUGGAUCCUAGAAUAAAUUGAUUGCUAAAGCAUUUAGUUUAAAAGAGGAUGUUAAGGUAUUUGUUUUAAGUAGUUUCUUACUGAUUUGUUUGUAUUCCUAUUGAUUAGAGACGUGUUGUUUAGUUUGAUAUAUUCUUUAGACAUAGACCACAUUUCUAAGAUUAUUGAACGUGGGUUACUUUCAGUUGCCAUCCUUACUGCUACAUGCUUAGAAGAUUGAUCCUUACUGCUACAUGCUUAAAAGAUUGCUGCUUCUCAAGUUUUGAUCAGGCCAGUGAUGUGGCUCUAAUACCAAAUGUAAAGAAAUUUGUAUAUUGAAAAGCAAGAAAAUGAAGAAUAUCUUAUUUAUUGAAUAAAUAACUUACUGGCUUAUAAAUAACCUUACAAAGAUAACUCANNNNNNNNNNNNNNNNNNNNNNNNNNNNNNNNNNNNNNNNNNNNNNNNNNNNNNNNNNNNNNNNNNNNNNNNNNNNNNNNNNNNNNNNNNNNNNNNNNNNNNNNNNNNNNNNNNNNNNNNNNNNNNNNNNNNNNNNNNNNNNNNNNNNNNNNNNNNNNNNNNNNNNNNNNNNNNNNNNNNNNNUUUAGUGUUACUUUUUUCAUAAAAAAGUGAUACCUCUUUUCCAAAAGUUAUGUUUAUCAAUGCAUAACUUCAUUAUACAAAAAUUUUAAUUUUUAAUAAAUACAAAAGAAAAGUAACAUAAAAUGAUUAAAUACAAUUUUUAUGAAAAAUAUAUUUUACUUUUAUUUUAUAUGAAUAAAAAAUUUAAAAUUUUAAUAAAGCAAAAUUUUAUAACCACAAUCAAGUUUUUAUCUUUUUUUAAUUAAAAAUAUUAAAAAAAUUUAAAUAUAUAAAAAAAAAUUAAAACUACAUUCAAGUAAAAAUCAUAAGCAAAAAUUUAAUAAUAAUAAUAAUUGAUUUUGAUUUUCAUAUGAAAAUUUAAUUUUUUUUUUAAAAUAGAAACAAUAAAAUAAUAUAAUAAAGGUAUUUUUAUUUAAUCAACGUAUGAUAAGAUUUAUCAAAUAAAUAAAUGUUUUAUUUAGUAUGAAUAUAUAAAAUCUUAUAUUCUAAACCUCUAAAUUUGUGCAUUAUAUAUUUAUUUUUAUAUUAAUUUUUUCUCAUUAAUUUAUUAUUAUUAUUAUUAUUAGUAUAUGUUUAAAGUGUCUCUAAAUAAUUAAAAUCAAUAACUAUGAAAAGGUGAAAAAGUGACCAAAAAUGAAAUUUAAAAAAAGGUAGAUUAUUUUAUAGGUAAAAUGAAGAAAAAAAGAAAAAAAAUGAAAAAUAAUAUCACAUGUCAACCUUAAUUGACAAGUAUAAAGUUCUUUUACUUGUCAUUUUAAGGUUAAAAAAAAACCAAAUGGGUUAAUUGAGAAAGAGAGAAGAAUGAAGGACAAUUUUGGACUUUUAAUGAAGAAGUACAUAUUUAUUGGAUUAUUUUAUAAAAAUUCUUAAAAAAUCUAUAUUUUUUAGAUAGUGUACCUUUACAGAGUUUACCUUUUUUUAUUUUAUAUAUUUGUUAAGAUUUUUAUUUUUUAAAAUUUUAAUUAUAUUAAAAAUAAAUAUUAUUUAUAAACAAAUGAUAUAAAUUUUUAUAAUUUAUUUUUUAUAAAAAAUAAUAUUUAUUUAUAUAUAUAUUAGAGAAAAGAAAAUAAAAAAUACAAAAAUGAUUUUUUAUUUAAUUAUAUAUGUAUAAACAUGACAAACGAGAGUGAGAUGGGUAAUACUCGAACUCAUUUGCAAAUUUAAAAAAAUUUCAAAUUUGCUCAUAACUCGCUUAUUCUUAUUUCAAAUCCAUUAUAUUAUGAGUGGGACAAGUACCUAAAAAAAUCGUCUUCUUGUCAUCCUAAUUGGUUUUUUUUUUUUGGUUAUCGUAAAAACUAUCUAUUGAUAUGAUUUUAGUCCAUCCCUUGGGUUUUUCUUUAUCAAUUUUUUUAAUUGAUUUCUCUCCCAUUUAUCUCUUUUAAGUUUUUCUUUAUCUAUAUUUAAUUUUUUUUUAUCCAUUUCUCUUAGUUUUAUUUAUUUAUUUGGAUUUUUCCUUAUCUAUAUUUUUUUUAUUAAGUGCAACUUUUAAUAUGUUUUCUUAAACUUUUUUAAUAAUUUAUUUUCCAUAUUGCUUGUAUAAUAUAUUUUAUAUAAUUAAUCAUUAAAAAUAGAUUUAUCUUGAAGACAAUUUUUUAUUAUUUAUUUGAUGAAUUAAAUUUAUAAUAAUUAAUUUAACAUAUAUUUUAUAAUGCAAAAUAAUAAAUUACUUUUUUUCACUAAUAAUGUAUUCUAAAAUUUUGAAAGUAUUACUUUGUUAAUAUUAUCAAAAUGUUGGUUUUUAAUUUUAUAAAAUUAUGAUUAGAAAGAUAAUUGUCUAGCCAACAUUAAAUUCAAUUAUCUAAAAUAUUAUAAUCUUAUAAAUUUUCUAUUACAAUAAUUUUUGUUGCAUAUUGUGGACCCUGUAUUUUCGCUCGAUGCGUUCCCACUCAAUGGCAGAACUCAUUUUUUUCAUUUAUUUGGUGAAAAUUUGCUUUUUAGAAAAAGACUUGAAGUCGUCACUUAUUUUUGUUUUAUUUUUUUAAAGGGAAAACAAAAUAAGAAAGAAAAACCCUAAGUGUGACUCCUCAUUUGGAAAAGUAGGUCUGUGAAAAACUGAGUCGGGGUUCGGGGGUCAGGUUACUUAUCGGGAAGGUACGGUAAAGACCGUAACACUCCUCUAAGUCCCUAAAAACGGGUCUCUACUAAUAAGAUAAAGCAAGCAUGACAAUUGGUAAAGAAAUCAAUAGAUACCAAAGUGAUCACAAAUUAGAAGCAAGUCAUGAUAAUGAAUAAAUGAACAAAGUGAGAGUGAGAGUGUACCUUGGUAGCAGGUAAUAAAGUGCUAUCAUGAAACAAAGUUAGUAUGCAAUAAUAAAUACAAAAUAUAUCGCAUGCAUGUUAAAGAUCAGAACAAAAAUCAAACAAUAUUCAUUAGGCAUAACAAUUAGAAGAUAAAUCUCAUAUGUAGGGCCCCCACCAAAGCCCAAUUUAUCUUGCAUGAAUUGGUCUCACAAAUUUCAUUAUUUUGGAAUUAUUAAAAAUCCAUUCUUACUUAUGAAAAAUCAAAAGAAACAGAAGAUUAUUUGAAAACCGGAGUGAAAUUAAAAUUGUUCGAGAGAAAACUGGAUUUUUUAAAUUUAUUUGGAAAUUGGAGUCUCAAAAAUUAUUUGAAAAUUGGAGUCUUGGGAAUUAAAUUUAAGAAUUGGAAUUUUGGAGAUUAAAUUUGAAAGAAACUGGAAUUUUGAAAAAUUAUUUAAAGAUUAAUUUUUUUAAAUAAAUAAAUAAAAUAAUAAUAAUGAAAAUAAUGAUGAUUAAAUAAAUAAAUGUGACAAUUGGAAUUUUGGAAAUUGGAAAUUAAAUUCGGAAAUUGGAAAAUUUGAAUUUCAGAAAUUGGGAAUUAAAUUUUGUAAUCGGAAUUUUGAAGAUUUAUUUAAAUAUGGAAUUUUAAAAAUAAAUAAAUAAAAUAAUAAUAAUAAUGAAAAUAAUGAUGAUUAAAUAAAUAAAUGUGAAAAUUAGAAUUUUAGAAAUUGGAAAUUAAAUUCGGAAAUUGGAAAAUUGGAAUUUCGGAAAUUGGGAAUUAAAAUUAGAAAUCGGAAUUUUGAAAAUUAUUUAAAGAUGGAAUUUUAAAAAAUGAAUAAAUAAAUAAAUAAAAUAAUAAUAAUAACGAAAAUAAUAAUGAUUAAAUAAAUAUGUGUGCAAAUUGGAAUUUUGGAAAUUGUAAAUUAAAUUUGGAAAUCGGAAUUUUGAAAAAUUAUUUAAAGAUGAUUUUUUUAAAUAAAUAAAUAAAAUAAUAAUAAUAACGAAAAUAAUAAUGAUUAAAUAAAUAAAUGUGAAAAUUAGAAUUUUGAAAAUUAAAUUUGGAAAUCGAAAUUUUGAAGAAUUAUUUAAAAAUAGAGUUUUAAAAUUAAAUAGAUAAAUAAAUAAAUAAAGUAAUAAUAAUAACAAAAAUAAUAAUAGUUAAAUAAAUAAAUGUGAAAAUUGGAAUUUUGGAAAUUAAAUUUGGAAAUCAGAAUUUUGAAGAAUUAUUUAAAAAUAGAAGUUUUAAAAUUAAAUAGAUAAAUAAAUAAAUAAAGUAAUAAUAAUAACGAAAAUAAUAAUAAUUAAAUAAAUAAAUGUGAAAAUUAGAAUUUUGGAAAUUGGAAUCUUAAAGAAUUACUUGAUAAUGGAAUUUAAAAAUAAAUAAUAAUAAUAAUAAUGAUGAUUAAAUAAAUAAAUGUGUAAAAAUUGGAAUUUUGAGUUUGACAUAAAAUAAUUCUCCUUAUUUUCAUAUUAACGUCUUUUUAGUUGAAAUUAUUUUUAUUAAAUUAGAUUUACUUAUUAAAAUUUUAUUAAAAGUAAGAAUUUAAUCUAUUAGAUUGUUUUUUUAUUUCCUAUAGGCAAGUUUAUUUCGAGACAAAAAGACAACAAAGCAAAAGAAAAGUGGGUGAAUAGUAAUUAUGAUAAAACAACAAAACAAAGGAAAAAUGGGUGAAUAGUAAUUAUGAUAAAAAGCUAGUGGCAUUUUCUUAAAUGGGCUUCUACAACUACAGGUUGCAAAAAAGCACCAAAAUUUAUUUGGAAAAAGGGUUUCCACUCUCCUCCUUAUUGCGCUUCACAUGCCAUCAUUGGCUUUGUAUUAGUUGGAAAUGUUCUAAGGGCAACAUCUUUUGUCCUUCAAAAUCUCAUUUAAAUGAUACAAACAAAAUGAAAGGAAUAGCAAGCACUAACACUAUAGUGGAACAUAUCUUUCUGCUUGGUUGAGGGGAAAAUGUAGGUGAAUGAACUGAUAUAAUAUAAGGAUUCAUUAUCUCAGGAACCAAACAGUAGAGGGAGAGAAGUGGAAGGUGAUGAGAUGGGGUGGCUAUGACAGUGGGCAUGAGUAGGAAAUGGGCAUGGCGGGCAUGAAAGGUGUGAUGGAUGAAAAAUUAGAGAGAGAAAUGGGUAUGAGGGGUUCGAUGGGUGUGAAGGAAAUGAAGACAGACAUGCAUGCAUGGUUCCUUUGCAUGAAUGAGAAAUGAGCAGCAGGGUAGCUGGGUGUGAUGGGUAGCCAUGCAUGGGACUUCAUGCAUGUCAGAAAUGGUGGAAAUGAGUUGAAAAUGAGUAUUGGUGAGAGAAAUGGGUCUCAUGGGUAUUUGAAAAAUGGGAAUGCAUGGGAGGUAUGGUGGAUGGCCAUGUAUGGUGUAAGAAAUGGGUUUUAAAAGGUAAAGGUAUGGUGGUGAGAAUAUGGAUAUGGUGAGGGGUAUGAUGGCAGGUUUUGAUGAGGUAUGAGAGUGGAAAUGGAUAGUGGACACGUUAAUGGGUAGAAGAUAUGAGAUAUGAUUAGUGAAAUGAGUAGUGGGAUAUAGUGAGAAAAACGGGUGGUGAUGUGUUGGGUAUGAGGGGUGGAAAACUGGUGGGUAUGAAUGGGGGAUGGAAAUGUGGCAGUGAGAGAAAACGGGUAUGGUUUCGCAUGGGCUAUGAGUAUGGGAGAGUAUUUGCAUGAAUGGCCAUUGGUGGGACAUUAGAAUAGUUCAAAGGAUAAAACUAACAGUAGCCAAAACUUCCAUCAAAAUAUUCAAUGAAAACCAAGUGACACACAAACGGGGUUUCAUGCAUGAAACAUGAAUCAACAAUAUCAAAACCCCUUAAUAACUCAGACUUUAGCCUGAGAUAUAUAGGCGAACAGCUACCCACAUCCAAACCAAAGGAACAGUAACUAGAAAUAACAAAAAAAAAGAAAAAAGAAAUGGAGUUGCCAGAUGAUAAGGAAAAAUAGGGAAUCUAUAACGUCAUACCUGGGAAUGCUCCAUUCGUCCAUUUCAGCUUCUUUUAUGCUCAAACCCUUCCAUUCCCUCUCACUUUCAGAUGGUCUUAUUUUCUUCCAAAGAUCUCACCUCUUUCAAAAAGCAUACCCCUCUAAGUUCCCAAAAAUUUCUCUGCAACACCCACCUUUUCGUUCAGCUAUCCCCUAUUUUUCAAACGAUCGUGUUUGCUUUUUUUUUUUUGCUCUAUUGUGCCCCCUUUUUGCUCAGUCGUGUUCCCUCUUUUUCAAACAACUCACCAUCAGCUGCUAUGGCCGCCUAGAAUCACCCAUUUCCAGUCAUCUUUGGCCGUCUAAAAUGGCUCAUCCUCAAGGUGGCCAGAAGAAUAAUAAAAAUAAAAAUAAAAAUGAAACCCUUCCGUAUGAGGGGGGUUUACACAUAUAUUCACAUAUAGUUAUUUAUAUAAUAUUUAUUAUAUAAUUAAAAGCUUUUAUAAAUAUAUUUAUUUAUAAGAAAGUUUAAAUAAAUUGUUAUGAGCAAUUAAUUUUUUGGCAAUUUUAUUUAAUCAAUAUUUUACUUGCUUAAUGUUAUCAAAUUUUGAAUAUCUAAUUUUGUAUAAAUUAUAAUUAGGAAAUGGUAACAAAACUAAAGUUGACUUGAUAUUGGUUUGAUCUUGUUGGGAAAACAACCUUUGAACCUAGAUUAAAGGACAUGUGCAACUAAGCUCUUAGGUACAACAAAAGAUGCUUAAUUUUAAAAAAAAAAUUAUUCUAGGAUGUUCCUAAAUCAUUUUUCCAAUUUGCUGGCAAACUUCUCAAAAACCUAGCAAUCUUCCAUUUGGUGAUUUUUUCUUUGAAUCAUGGCAAUGGGGAAGUGUGAGCUUCUCUCCAAAAGAAGUGAUAGUUAGGGUUUCUCUCUAAAUGAAGUGGAAGACCGCAAUUAGUUUAACAUUAGAGCCUAAGAAGGUUUAUAUAGACUUGUGGACCUACAUUGUGAAAAAUGCGAGUUUGUGGACCCGCAUUUUUCAUGUGCGCCCCCACUUCAUCGGCGAGACUUGCUUUUAUAUGGUGAAAAAUUUUAGUUUUGGAAAAGUUGGAGUUGCCACUUACUUUAUUUAAUUUUAAAGGGAAAAUAAAACAAGAAAUAAAACCCUAAAAAAAGUGACUCCACAUUUUUGGAAAAACAUGUCUCGAAAACCCGAGUCUAGGUCUGGGGAUCAGGUUACCUAUUGGGAAGGUACCUCUAAGAGGUAGCACCCCUUUAAGCCCUACAAAGGUCUCUAUUGACUAAGUUGAGGGAAAUGUGGCAAUCAAUUGAUUAAUUGAGGGUACCUAGGUAGGCUAAGGUGACUUCAAAACUAGCAUGCCAAAUAAGAAAAAUCGAUCAUACUCAUAAAGGAGAGUUAGGAUGCGUACUUGGACCGCUUCUUAAGCGCUAUCAUAAAACAUCAAAGUUAGCAUAGAAAUAUAGUACACAAAUGUAUUUUAUCCAAACAAAUCUAACAUGCAUCUAAGCACCCAAGGAUAGAAUCAGACAUGGAUAUGGCUUACAACAACAUGCAUGUUCAUAAAAUUCUGAAGAAGUAAGUGAUAGAGAGCGUACCUAGAUAACAUGCAUAGUUAUAAGAUUCCUCCAAAAAUGUUAGAAUGGUUAGGGAAAGUAUGAAUUAUAUAACAUAUUCAUUAUGUCUAAUACACAGUACCAAAACCAAAAUUGAGCCAAGGUAAGUCAAAUGACUCAAAAAAAUAAAUAACCAAUUCAAGCAAUGUACAAGAUCAUUAGCAUGCAAUUAGAAAAUGGAGUAUAAAAAAAAACAAUUUCUAAAAAAUGGCUUAGAGUGGAAUUUAAUUAUGAAAAAUUUCAGGCAACAACUCCUACCCAUCUAGAUCAACACACUGAAGGCCAAACUCUCAUUCAAAGGAUAGAUUGCAGCAAAGACAUCUAAAGGUUUUACAAAAUUCAGAUUAUAUAAGAAAAACUGACAUGCAUAAACAAAAUUUUAAAAAAUAAUAAACAAUCACAUAAAAUCAUAAAAAAAAAUCACACACGUAGUUCAAAUUGUAUAUCACAUAAAAAAAUGAAUCCAGGGUCAUAUAGUACUCAAAAAUAUUUUUAAAACACUCAAGUUAAUCAGAUGUCCAAAAUUCAGCAUGUGUAGUAGGUAUGAAUUUGAAAAAUCAUAUCUCCUUAAAAAGAUAUAUUUUCUAAUAUUUUAUGUGUCUAACAUCAAUUUAAAGAAGCCUAGAAUUGAGUAAAAAUAUUGAAUUAAAUUUUAAAAGUCGUCUAGUAUUUUAUUUUUGCAAAAAAGUCUCAGAUGUCCAAAACUAGUGAAAAUGGAGACCCUCUAAAGAUUCACUUAUAUUUUAUGUUCUAGGAUUGCUUUCUAACUCAAACGAAACUUUAAAUUCAAGUUUAAGAAGUAAGGAAAGUCAUACAAGCUUUGGAAAUUUUUUAAAAAUAUUCUAAAGUUGUUGUACCGAAUUUUAACUCUAAAGGGUCGGUGGGCAUAAAAACUGGUAGCAAGGAAAAAAAAGUUUUUUUUUAAAAUUUUUUUUGCACCAUUAGAAUUGUCCUCCCAAAAUGGCUAUGCUGCUCUCAAAACUCCUGUGGAGUGCAUGCUAAUAUUCCCUCACUCCACGUUCUAUUGUUGGUUUCAAUUAAAAAAAUGAUGCACGAUUAACUCAAACUUCAAUGAUCUAAUUGUAUACAUGGAAAUCUAAAAAAAAAAAAAAAUCAUCUCUUUCAAAGUCGCAACCUUUCAAUUCCUCACAAAGCUGUGUCGUAGUCCAAAAUCUUUUGGAAACACAUUACCAAUAUCCCAAAACAUUCUGAAUCUUUUUCUCCGAAAACUUCAAGAACGCUUCCUCAAAAUCACCAGCUUGUCCUUAUUCCAAAUGGUGUUCAUCUCCCACGAAAAAAAAAAAAAAAAACCUUGCUGAAUCUUCUUCUAAAAAUACCCAGAAAACCUUACCAAAAUUUGAACUUGUAUUAACCUUCAUUUUCCAAAAAAAAUGAUGUCUCUCUCUCGAUCAUCUAUCCUCCUAAAACGACAACCUAGUGAUGAACAAAAAAAAUCAGCAGUAGCCCGAUGAUCAAACAAAUCAACAGUAGCUCAAUGAUAAAAAAAAUCAGCAGUAGCCCGGUGAUCCUGAAAAAUCAACAGCAACCCGGUGAUCCCUUCUCAAUGGUGCUCCUCUCUUCUCUUCUUUCCUCUUUCUUUCUUAAUUUCAAAACGGCAGCCUAGUGAUGCAAAAAAAAUCAGCAACAACCCGAUGAUCUUGAAAAAUCAACAGCAGCCCGGUGAUCCUUUCUCAAUGGUGCUCCUCUCUCAUCUUCUUUUCUCUCUCUUUCUUAAUUUGUUCUCUAUCACUUUUUCACCUUCUCUGCAACCCCGGUGAUGUAAAAAAACGGUAGAAAAGAUUUCGUUCUCCUCCUCCCAUCACCCUUCAAUUCUUUUUUUCUUUUUUAAUCUCUUAUCAAUCCCCCUAUUCAACUUCUCUCUCCAACCACGGUAAUGGAAGGAACAACAACCAUCUCUGCUCCUUUCAUUUCUUUCUUUUUAAUCUUUUUUUUUUCUCAAUCACUCUUUCUUGAACAAAGCCUUCAUCUCGUCCACAUACACAAUAAACAUCUCAUUUUCACAUUUCAUGCAGCUUUGUAACUUACCAUUUCAAGUGGGCCCUCUUUCUUUCUUUUUUUUUCUUUUUUUUCAAACACACAAUAAAUUUCUCAUUUUCAAAUUCCAUGCAACUUUGUAACUUAUCAUUUCAAGUGGGUCCUUUUUCCUCUUUUUAUUUUUUUUAAACGUGGACUAAAUAUCUCUCCAAUCACAGCUCCAAGUUUCAUUUCCUAAAGAAGCCAAACUCUCCAUUGAUAAAUCUCCCUGCAAAAUUCCAAAGUUAAUAGGUUAAAAAUAAAAUAAAAAACGUGUUUUAGAAAAUAAGUAAAAUUUAUUGGAUUAACAAUAUAUAUAUAUAUUACACAAUUAUUAUAUUAACUAAAAGUAUUUUAUAAAAUUAUUUGAUUGAAUAAAAGUGUUUUAUGAAAUGAUAAAAAAAAAAAUACACAAAGUAAUAUACAAAAGGGCUAAAUAGAUAAUAAUAAAAAACCAUGCAAAAAACGUAAGCUAUGAAGCCAUGCAAACCAUGCAUUCAUGCAAAAAAUGAUCUAAAUGGACCUAGGGUGCCUAAAUGGACCUAGGAUGCCUAAAUGAGCCUAAGGUGCCUAAAUGGGCCAAGGGUGCCUAAGUGGGCCAAGGGUGCCUAAAUGGACCAAGGGUGCCUAAAUGGACCAAGGGUGCCUAAAUGGACCAAGGGUGCCUAAAUGGGCCUAAUGUUACAGGAUGCUUCAAAUGAGUCUCCUCAUGGGUUUAUAUAGAGCCUAGGAAACUUCUGGAGACUUCUAGAGCCAUCUACACUAAGCCAUUGGAGGGAAGAGUGUGGAAGGUUCUAGAGAUGCCUAGAGAUGUCCACACAUUUCUACACUAUGGUGGAAGACAUGAGAAGAGUCCAAGGCUUUCUAGAGAAUUCUAGAGAUCUCUUGUGCAUAGGAUUGUACAUAGAAUUGUGUAGGGUAUUCUAGAAUUUUCUUGAUUUGUAAAGAACCCUCCAAGAUUCCAAAGAGUUCCAUUGGUGCCUAAAAAUAGGUGAGGGUCUCAUUUGGCCAAGGCCCCACCCAAAUCACUUCCUAACCAAGCAAGUGAGCUUCUAAACAUUGUAUAGCUUCCUUUGAAAGCAAUAAAACUUCCAGUCUUUAAGAGUCGCCUACUACGUAUUCUCAAGAUUCCGAAUCGUGAGCAUCUUAGCCUAUCAAGCUAAACAUUGGGGAGUAAGGCUGACUUAAGCUCAUUCAGAACUGGUUCAGCUCAGAGUGCAAAAAUCUUAACCAUGAUUGAUACAAAUGAUGGUUUCAUACAUGACAAUCCCACUAUAAUCGAAGAUAUAGCAAAUGAAAGACAAAACAUGAUGCAACAACCUAUAGUUAGUGGAAUUAGUGAUGACCAUCUAGAAGAGCACCAAAUAUACUCAAGUAAGAAAGAAUUACAAAGGAAGUUGUAUAUGAUGGCUUUGAAAAGGAAGUUUGAGUUCAAAACAACUAAAUCCACUACUAAGUUAUUGCUUGUUGAAUGUUUUGAUAAAGAAUGCAAGUGGUGAGUUCGUGCUACCAAGUUGGGGAUUUCCAAUAUGUUUCAAAUAAUGAAAUUCUAUUCAACACACACUUGUCGGUUAGAUAUGAUGUCUCAUGACAAUCGACAUGCAAGUAGUUGGUUGAUUGGUGAAAGUAUAAGAGAAACAUAUCAACGGGUUGGUUGUGAAUUUUGACCAAAAGACAUUGUAGCAGACAUUCGAAAGCAGUAUGACGUUCAAAUCAGUUAUGAUAAGGCAUGGAGAGCUAGAGAACUUGCUCUAAGUUCUAUUAGGGGAUCACCUGAGGAGUCUUAUAACACUUUACCAUCAUAUUGCUAUGUUUUAGAGCAAAAAAAUCCUGGUACCAUUACCGAUAUAGUUACUGAUUGUGAUAAUCAAUUCAAAUACUUUUUUAUGUCAAUUGGUGCAUCUCUUACUGGGUUUCACACAUCAAUAAGGCCUGUGGUUGCAAUUGAUGGGACAUUUUUGAAAGCAAAGUACUUAGGGACUUUAUUUAUUACAACGUGUAAAGAUGGCAACAAUCAGAUAUACCCUUUAGCCUUUGGGAUUGGUGACUCAGAAAAUGAUGCCUCAUGGGAGUGGUUUUUACAAAAACUGCAUGAUGCACUUGGACACAUUGAUGAUUUAUUUGUGAUAUCAAAUUGACAUGGUAGCAUUGAGAAAGUAGUACAUAAAGUAUUUCCCCAUGCGAGGCAUGGUGUAUGCACUUAUCACGUUGGACAAAAUUUGAAGACUUCAAGAAUCUUGCAAUUCAUAAGUUGUUCCAUGAUGCUGCCCAUGCUUAUUGUGUUUCAAAGUUUAAUUUUAUAUUUGGGCAACUAGAGAUGAUUGACCGAAGAGCAGCAAGAUAUUUGAUGGAUAUAGGAGUUGAUCGAUGGGCACAUUCAUAUUCUACCGAAAAAAGAUAUAAUAUCAUGACGAUAGGGAUCGUUGAAAGCCUUAAUGCUGUGUUGAAAAAUGCUAGAGAUCUUCCGGUUUUGCACUUGGUUGAAGAAUUGAAAAACUUACUUCAAAAAUGGUUUGUGACUCGUCAACAACAAGCAAUGUCAAUGUCAACUGAACUUACCAUGUGUGCUGAUGGAGAACUUCGUUCGAGGUAUAAUAUGUCAACAACAUAUCUAGUGGAACCUAUCAACUCCAAGGAGUGUAAUGUUAACUAUGCUAGCAUUAGUGCUCAAGUGAAUUUAGACACUCGUUCAUGCACAUGUCGACAAUUUGAUCUUGAUCAUAUUCCAUGUGCACAUGUUAUUGCUGCUUGUAGAUUUUACAACAUUUCAUGUUACACUUUGUGCUCCAAGUAUUUUACUACUAAAGCAUUGUUAUCUUCAUAUUCAAAGUGUAUUUAUCCAACUGGAAAUGAAAUAGAUUGGGUAGUACCUAAUCAUAUUCGUGACAAAGUUGUGUUACCACCUAAAACAAGACGCCUAACAGGAAGACCAAGGAAAGUAAGAAUUCCUUCUGGUGGAGAGGGCAAGCGCACAUCUCGUUGUAGUCGAUGUGGUCAAUAUGGGCAUAAUCAGAAAACAUGCAAACGACCAAUCCCUUGAUAUCAUGAUAGCUUUGGAACUCUAUGAACUUACAUGGAAUGAAAAUUGUAAUAGUGAGCUUUUUUGUUUUUUUUUGGUACCCAUGUGAAUGGAAAUGUAAGUUACUUUUUUGUAUAAGGUGAUAGGAUAAGCAUAGAGAUGAAUAUUGUAAUAAUGAUCCCUUUUUUUUUGCAUACCCAUAGAAAUAGAGUUACUUUUGUACAUAUAUGUUAUGAUGAGUUAUGUAUAAAGUAUGAAUGAAAAUUGCAUAUUUAUUCUCAAAGUAUGAACUUAACUGUUCUCACGUUUAUUGAUAAGGAAUUGGACAAUAGUUAAGUUCAAGUUUUGUCUGAAGACUGUAGACUUAACUACCUUCAAGUUUAUACAUAAAACAAUUUGACAAUAGUUAAGUUCAGGUUUUGUUUAAAGACUGUGAACUUAACUACCUUCAAGUUGGUACAUAAAACAACUUGACAAUAAUUAAGUUUAGGUUUUGUCUAAAGACUGUGGGCUUAACUAUCUUCAAGUUUAUACAUAAAACAACUUGACAAUACUUAAGUUCAGGUUUUGUUUAAAGACUGUGAACUUAACUACCUUCAAGUUUGUACAUAAAACAACUUGACAAUAGUUAAGUUCAGGUUUUGUCUAAAGACUGUGGACUUAACUACCUUCAAGUUUGUUCAUAAAACAACUUGACAAUAGUUAAGUUUAGGUUAAAAUGGCAACUAUAGACACAACUUCCUAUGAGUCUAUAGAAGAUCAACUUGAUACAUGUUAAGUCCAAAUUAAAUAUGUUAUUCUGGAAUAGACUUUGACUUAAUAUCUGUCAGGUUUGUUCACAGUUAACUUGAUAGUAGUUAAGUUCAAGUGUUCUAUUAAGACUGUGGACUUAACUACCUUCAAGUUUGUACACAUAACAACUUGACAACAGUCAAGUUUAGUGUAAAAGGUCAAUUGUAUACAUACCUAUCAAACAACAUUCAUCAAAAUAUCCAAGUAUAUAUAUCAAGUUGUCCAACUACAUUUAUCAAAAUGUCUAACUACAUAUAUGAAGCUAUUCAAUUACAUAUAACAAACCAUCCAACUACAUUAUUAAAAUGUGAAAUACCAACAUGAAUUCAUUACAUAGGCAAGUAUUUCAUAUAAAAUAACUCUGCUGCCAUCUUUUCCCGAAACCAGUCCAUUCGAGCACUUGUUAAUGACUUCAAUGGAUGGUUGUGCAUUAAGUAUUCAACAUAUUUGAUAACAAACAUGCCACAAUCAUCACUGCAUGGUACACAGAUAAUCAAUGUUAGGGCUAUUAUUAAGGAUUAACUGUAUAAGAUAUGAAAGUAAAUUUAAGAUCACUUACUCAUUUUCCUGUUGAGGAAUAUCUUACAGCCAUUCAAUUUCCCAUUCCUGGUAGUUAACUUUUGUGUCACCAUGAAACCCAUAAUAUGCUAUUGCAUUUAAGAUAUGCGGCAACAAUUUGGUUAAUGGUUUAAUGGCAACUUGCAAUCUUGCAUUAUUAUUGAUGCCCAUCAAUGAAUCAUAUACAUAUAUAAUCCUUCGAUGAAGGUGGACAACUCCUAAUACCCAGUGACUAACCCGAACAUUGAUGGAGACAUACACAAUGUCAACAUCAGGCCAUUUGACAGAAUAAAGAGGCUGCAAACCAUUGGCAUAAUCAAUAAGAAUGUCAUUCUCUGGUAAUUUGAAUAGGUUUCAUUUCUUGACAUGCUUAAUCCAUCUUGCUUGAGCAUUUUGCUAUAUAGAAUAAAGUUAACAUAAAUAAAUAACCAAGAUCAUAAGAUUCAUUAUUACAAAAAAUUAAAAAUGAUAACUAAAAUUCAAACUACACAUACCCAAAACAUAGUAUCCAUUGUGGUAAACUUUUGGGAAAAAAGAUGAGGAUUUUCUAUUCGCCGCUUCCGGAAAAAGAAGAAGGCAACAUCAAUGUGCUAACAAUUAAUGUUUGGAUACUCGGUUCUCCAAAGCUCUUUGCAAACCAAAUAGUGUCAUCUCAUAACAAAUCCCCCCCACCCAUGGAUACUUGUUAAAAGCCUCCAAAUUAUCAACUAAAGCAACCCAUUCCAUAUCUAUUAAAUUUUUUCCUUCUUUCCCAAAUAAAACAUGCUCUAAAAAAAUAGAAAAGUGCCAUCUUUAUCACCUCUUCAUCUUCAAAUUCUUUUUUUUUCUUAUUCUUAUUCUUUUUCUUUUCCUCUCCUAAAGAAAGAAAAACUUUCUCCAACUCAUCAUUUCGCACCUUGUUUUCUCCUUUAAAAUAUGUGUCCCUUAUUCGUAAUGAUUUUUUAUCACAUUUUAUAAUAGGACCAAAACUCAAGCCCGUAAUCAAUGCAAACUCUUCUUUACUGAAUCUUAAGUCCUUUGACUUUAAUAAAAUCCAUAUUUCAUUGUCUUUUUUGGUUUCACAUUGACGUAACAACAAUUGAUGAACAAUUUGGGCUGAAAAUCUAAGUUCAGGAAAGAGUAAAAAAUGACCAAAACAUGAUUUUCUAAACAUCUCCAAUUGUGGUUUAGUCAAUUUCUUCUUAAUAUUUUCAAUGGCUACCAAGUGAGACAAACAUGCAAUUUUUCCAGGAAAGUACUCCUCUUUAGGUAUUUUAGAUAUAAAAGAUAGGAGAUGAGGAGGAAUGUCAAUCUAUAAGAUAAUAACAAAUUGUAAAAAUAUCAAUAUAAAUUGAGCAAAAUUAUAUUACCAAACUUAUCCAACUAUGUUAAAUCCAUCAUUUCGUAUUACUUCUUAACAUAGACUUUAUUUUCCUAUUAUUUAAGAAUGUCAUGUCAAAUGCUAAUAUUCUAAAGAUAUUAUUUUACUAAUGCAAUUGAAGCUAUUAUAUUUUAUUAAGUUGCAACUACAAAAAAUUGGAGACAUUAUUCUAGUGUUUAUUGAAAUUUGAAACAAAACCAAACCAUUUUGAAAUUGCAACCUGUUGACAAUGAACUUGAUAGCAGUUAAGUUAAGUUUUUUCUUAACAUAUAUAUUUAAAUCAAAAUUCUAAAUAUUUGGAUAAAAUAAAUUCAUAAAAAUUAUAUUAAAAUACAUUAUAAAUUCAUAACAAAUAACUUCAUUACACAAAAUUUCAAAACCUUUUGAUGGUAAACUUGAUAGUAGUUAAGUUUAGUUUUUUCUAAUCAUUUAAAUAUUGCUUUAAACCUUGGACUAUAACCUCACUGAGAAAAUUUUCAACAAUUAGAUUAUCAAUUCAUGAAAAAUAAAUUCAUAAAAAAAUGAUAAUCUAUUAAAAGGGAUAAAAUGUAAAAAAAAAAAAAAAUUAAAAAUCAAAAUUUCAAGUAGAAAAUUAAUGCUUAUUGAAUCAAUUGAUUUCUUCUCAUUUUUUGAUGACGAUGAUGAGGUUUCAAAACCUUGCUUUCUUUCACUUCUCUUUUUUCUAAAAAUUUUAUACCUCUUUUGUUUCGUAUUUUUCAUCACCGAAUUUUUUUCUUCCUCCAUUUUCAUGAACUGAAUCAACACACAAUAUCAGAAAGAUGAAAAAUAGGGCUUGAUUUAAAAAUAAAAUAAAAUGAACCAAAAUAAGACACGGAAGGUUUCUUCUCAUUUCAUGGAGGAAGAUUCAUAUGUACAGUUCGAAAAACUGAAAUCAAAGAAUGAAACAGUGAAACUUACUUUCUGUUUUUUCCUUGUGUUGUGUUGCCUUUUUGUUCUCUUGCAAUAAACGGAAAAGUCUUUUGUGAUUUUUUUCUCGUAGGUUAACAGAUGGAACAAAUGGGUUUUCAAGGUAAGGAAGAGACACAACACAGGGGAAAAUUGGAGUUGGAAGGAAAAUGGGCUGAAAAGAUAGCUGAAGGGGUAUUUUUGUCCGAGUUGGGUCAUUUUUUAGACUUAAAUAAGUGGGGGGUUAGUUUUGCAAUAUUGAGGGAUUUUUGUCCCUUUUAAUCAGUUAUCCCUUUAAUCUAUAAAUACCCUUGAACCAUAUCUCCCAUUUGACUCAACAACCCUCAAAUCCUGUCUUCCCUGAACAUAACAAAUGGCAAUUCACAAGUUUCUCUUAGCCAUUUACAUCUUAGGUUCAGCCCUGGCUCAUUUCUCACUAGCUCAGAGCUCCCCCCAAGACUAUGUGGACGCCCACAAUGCUGCACGGGCACAGGUAGGAGUGCAGCCCAUCACAUGGAAUGAGACAGUCGCAGCCUACGCCAGGAGAUAUGCUAGUAGCCGGGUUGCUGCACGUUGCAGCAUGGAGAAUUCAGGAGGGCCGUACGGAGAGAACCUUGCUAAAGUGUAUGGUACUUCAGUGUCAGGUUCAGAUGCAGUCGAGUUUUGGGUAACUGAGAAGCCAAACUAUGACUACAACUCCAACUCAUGUGUUGGUGGAGAGUGCCUGCAUUAUACCCAGAUUGUUUGGGGUGACUCACUUUAUCUUGGGUGUGCUAGCGUUCAUUGCAAAAAUGGAUGGUGGUUCAUCACCUGUAACUAUCAUCCUCCUGGAAAUAUGGAGGGGCAGCGUCCUUAUUAGUCUCUAGCUUUCAUGCAUGCUUAUUGCUUUUCAUCAAUUUAUUGAUUCCCACAAGAUAAAUAACAUCACUUGUUUUUAUGUAUUUUGCUUUCUAUUGUGACUUUAUACCAAAGGGUAGUUCUACAAUACUUGAAAACACAAAAACUUCUAAAAAAUCUAAGGAAAAAAAUAUGAAAAAAAACGGGGAAAGAAGAAAAUUGAAGGAAUUAGUCUUAAUAUAUAUAGCAAAUAAAGGACAAAAUAAUAAUAAUAAAAAGGUUAGAAAAGUAAAGGUAUAUGACAUAGAAGAAAAAGACAAACAAAAGAUAUAAUUGGAAAUAUGAGAUAGUCAAAACUCAUCAACUUCAAGAUAAUUUGUAAACUUGAUAACCUUUGAGGGACGUACGAGCUAGAGAGAAUGUGAUCCUUUUAGACAAUUUUAUCUUCAAACAAACCAAAUAGUACAAUGGGCCAAUGGUGGGCCUAUGAAUUGGGUUGAGUGCGGGAUCAAUUAUAACAUGUUUUAUGCCGAGUUUUGGUUGGAUAAUUUGGCCCGUCCAGGCCCAUUUUGAGCCACCUCUACGUGGGUCAGUAGUCAGAUAUCAAUCCUCCAUGGACCCAAAACUUCAAUGGCCACCUAGACUGUCAGCCAUUAGGAACCAGAAAAGUUUGAGAUAUAUGGAGCCACAAAUUUUGAAAUGAUGAACCAGAUAGUUAUGCACAUGCUAUGAUGCAAGUUUUUUUUUUUUUUUUCUAACAGGGAUGAUUUUUUUUUUUUUUUUGGCUUUUAAUACAAAUAUUCAAAUCAACUUAAAUUAAAAUAAACUCUAAACAUAAACAAAAGAAAUUUAUUAUUAUUGCAUAAUAUUAAAAUUAUAUAUAAGACCCUCAUUAUGCAAUAUUGUCAUUUGUCACAUCCAUAUUUCAUAUCAUUGAAGACCAUCCUCUCCAUUGUUAUUGGCAGGAUGAGCACAAUGUUGAAUUUAUGCACUUGAAAUUCAACUUUGAUCUCACAUGCAUUAAAAUUUCCAACUUUGAUGUGCCACCUUACUAUGAGUCUAUGACCCGUCAUAUGCAUGAAAGGGACAUCUCCACCUGUCAUGGCUGAAAUUUGACAAACAAUGAUAACUUUACCACGGUGAAACUAAUGUCAAGCAAAUGAAAGAAAUGUUUUAAAAAUUAAAUAUUAAAAAAAAAUCUUUUUUAAUAUUAUUAAAAAUUAAAUAUUAUUAAAAAAUAUUAAAUAUUUUUUAAUAAAUGCAUCUAAAUUGGUGGACAUCUCCACCUGCCAUGGCUAAAAUUUGACAAACAAUAACAACUUUAUCACUUAUUUAGAGGUUAAACUAAUGUCAAGCAGAUGAAAGAAAUGUUUUAAAAAUUAAAUAUUAAAAAAAUCUUUUUUUAAUAUUAUUAAAUAAUAAUAAUAAUGGUUAAAGUCAUGCUUUUUCAAUAAAAGUUGUAAAAAUGUUUUUUUGGAUGAAACUACAAAAAUCUUUUUUUAAAAAGAGGUAACAAAAUCCCAUUGUGUUUUUUUCUUAAAUAUUUUUUAAACUCUUUUUGUAAAAAUGAUAGUUUUUAAUAAAUUUGAUUUUCUUUGUAAAUAUUAGAAUAAAAUUUGAGACUCUUUUUAAUAAAAUUGAAGGUUUUUUUUUUAACGUUAAAUUCAAUUUGUGAAAUACCUUUUUAAUGAAAUUAAAAAAAAAAAAAAAACUCUCUUCUUUCAAUUGGGAUUGGAGAAUUUUUUUUUUCUAAGGAUUAGGUAAAAAAUUUGUUUUAAUAAGAAUGAGGUGGGAUUCUUUUGAAUUAAAGUUGUAAAACUCAUUUUCUUAAUGAAUUGGAUUAGAGUAUUCUUUUUAAUAAUUUGUAGAAAUCACAUUUCAUAAAUAAAAAUUUGAAUUGUGAUUUUUCAAUAAUAAUAAUAAUAAUAAAAUUUGGUUUCUAAAAACUGAAAAGAUAAUAUUUUCUUAGUUUCUAUUUCUGAGAUGUAAAGUUUUAAACGGUAGAAAUAUAUUAGAAUUAGAAGUUUCUAUUUUCGCAAGUGUUUCUAUUUUCUAUAAAUGGAAGAUUACCAAAUGUUUAGUGUUAGUAGUUAUGCCCACCAUGUUUUCAGCUCCAGAGAAUUCAAGUCAUUUUGAUGCGCCUCAUUUACCUCAGCAUUAUGAUGGCUCUGCUAUGUUCUAUGGGAUUCGCCUUCAUCAUCCACUCCCCAGUCUUGAUAUAGCUGUUGCUCCUCGAUCCAACAUUUAUGAUCCUUACUCGACCCCUUCAUCUGGAUACAGAGGGUUCCCUGUUUCUAUGAAUCAUGGACCAUCUGGUCAGUUGCCAUCUUCCAGCAAUCACGGAGUCAUUGGAGUUUCUACAUAUGAACGAAAGAAUGCUCAAGGCAUCCUGGGGAAUUUUCAGUAUUUUAAUGGCUUUGCAAGCUCUAGUUCUUCGGCUCCCCCUUUCAAUACAUGGCAUCUUGAAUCCGGGAUUCCCGUGAUGGAUUCUGCAUCUUUGGCCUUUGCCCAGCCGCAGUACAGAGGGAAUAAUGCUCCUUCAAUCAUGGAAGUAGGAUCUCACAGAAGUGUGAGGAACAGAUCAGGGGGUGUUGGGCAGGAUUCUGUUCUGGCACAUAAUCAUUACCAUUUGGUGCAAGGAAACUAUAUUGGCCAUCCUUUUCAGCCUUCUGGCAAUCCCUGGGUUGACCAACAAUCAGGCAAUAAUGGUAGUGGUGGGGGAACUUUGGCCUGGAAUCAUGGACCUGCUUUACCUUAUUUGCAUGGGAGCAAUAUCAGUGGAGGUUCUAGAGAGGCUCGGAAUGUGGGUAUACAGGGAUACCAUGAUACAUCUAGUGCCAGAAGUUCCACAGAUUACCUUCAACCUCCUGUCCUUCACCGGCACCAUAAUCUUCAUUAUCCACCACCACAACCUAUGCAAGGAGCAAGAAGACAUUUCCUCCCUCAAGUGGUGGCAUCUUCGUAUAGACUUGCCACGAUUAGUUCACGUAGUCCUGUGCCUCCUCAGGUUGGUGUCGAGGCAGGGCACAGGCAUCCAGGACCUGUUCCACCUACUUGGAUCAGGAUAGAUCGAUCUCAUCGAGGGGGAGUCGCACCUGAGGCAACAUCGAGACAUGGUAAUCUGCCUUACUUGAGAACGCUCCCAGAAGAAGAAGUUGCCAUACUAGAUCUUUCAGCAUCUUAUCAAGUAGGGGAAGUAAGCACAGGGCUUUCAGAGGAAUCCAUUACAAAUUGUCUAAAAACUAGAACUUAUAUAUCUUCAACUUGUCUGAAUCUGGAAGAGGGUGCAAGUAUGGAUCAGGAAAAGGAUUCUUGCAUUAUAUGCCAGGAGGAGUAUGAGAAUGAAGAGAAGAUUGGAUUUCUUGAUUGUGGGCAUGAGUACCAUGCAGAUUGCUUGAAGAAGUGGGUGCUGGUGAAGAAUGUGUGCCCCCUCUGCAGAGCCCCAGCAAUGACCCCAAAAAAGAAGGAUGUAUAGAGGAGCGACGAUGGUUGAAAGCUUAUUCAGUAACUUGGCUUGAUGUGAAAUACACCAUGUAGUGUUGUAAUGUUGACUUCAAUAUCUUGUGCUUUACCUUCAGAUUGUUUGGACUGUGCCAACCAAUAAAUGUUGAUGCAAUUUAAGAUUAGUAUACAGCCUUUAUGGGUUGAUGAAUCUGUGUAUUUUGUUCAUGCUGAGAUUCUCUUUUUAUUGUCACUUCCUGUUAAUGAUAACGUCGGUUACAUGGUGCCUUUAAUGGCAUCUUCAUAUCCCCUUUAAUGCUUAAGUUUGUUACAAUGAUUAAGACAUGGUUUUUAUGGUUUUAUGGUUCGUCUAUUUAAUAAUUAAAUAUAGAGUCCGAUCUUGAUGUUCAAUCCUCUAGACAUGCGAAGAAGAACGCUUCUCACUCCUCCUCUGCUCCACCUCUCUGCUCUUCAUCUCUCUCCUCUGCCUCGCCUCUCUCUUCAAAUCCUCUGUUUCUCCUCAAAACCACCAAAACCUCCCAUUCAAACGUAGUGAUUCCUCUGGAACUCCGAUCUUGGUUCAGCGUGCGAUUAUUCAGAUGGGAUGUGGAUCUAUGAUCCCGGUGUGAGAUCUGCGCCGUAUGAUCAUAAGGAGAUUUUCAAGGGAUGGAAUUGCAUUGCCAGUAAUAAAUCCAAUGGUUUGGAUAUUAUCAAGUGGCGUUGGAAGCCCAAAGGCUGUGAUCUUCCUCGGUUUGAUCCGGUUCGGUUUUUGGAGCGGUUCAGGAACACCAACGAUGGUACUCUCUUUUACUUGAAAAGUAAAUUGCCUCUCUUUUGAUUUCUUGGAAAAUAAAGAGGAAAUUAUAGGCCAGUUUGGUGGCAUAAAUGGGAUUUUUUUUUUUUUUUUUUUUAAUUCAAAGCAGAACCGAAAAGUUGCUGAUACGAUUUCAAGAACUGUUUUUGAAAACAUUUUAUAUUGCUUGAAAACAAUAAAAAUGAAUUUGUUCAUUCUUUUGUCUUCAAAAAUGCCACAGCGCCUGUAAUUUUGAAUGUUUGUGCUUUGCAUUGUUUUGGCCAAGUGACUCACUCAAAAGUAAGGUAGAUAUUGUUUUCUAUUGAACUGGGUAGACAGGCAUUUCUCCUUUCUGUGGGGUUGCAGGAUGAAAAUGAUUAGACUUUAAAUUAUUGUUUCUUUUAGUUUCCUGUCGUUUCUUGGCCUCCAAACAUGUGGAGGGAAUUGAGAAAUUGAAGACUGCUUGUUUGUAAAAUAUUUGGUUACAAGCUUGGGUCAUGAGCAAUUCAGCAUAAUCAUCAUAGUUUUGAAGUAAUCAUGUAAUUUCAAACCUUGGUUGAACCUGAAAAUGAAAGAUUGGGUAAAUUGGAGCCAAUUGGAAAAAGGGUUUGUUUUCCAUUGAUUUGCCUUUAUCAGGUUCAAACAAAAUUUAGGAAUGUCAUUUGUAUGAUUUCCGACAGCCUAAGACAUAAAAUACAUUGUAGAAAGGCUUCAUAUUAGAAAUGAGGCUGCACUAUAUGUAUACUAAUUCAAAUGAAAGGUAUGUUCAGAUGGUUUUUUCAGGCAUGUCCCAAUAGCUUUCUCCAUUGCUCUUGUCCGUAUGAUCUUAUGGUUUAUGUGUUUCUUGAUUUUUAUUAAUUUUAUUUGGUUUAUUUUAAUUUUAUUUACUUGGAUAUGUCAUGCUUUUUAUGGACAUUAUGAAUUUUCAACAGUGCAGGCUUUGUUGGUGAUUCCCUAAAUAGGAAUAUGUUUGUUUCUCUGUUCUGCACUCUUAAGCGAGUAUCAAGUGAAGUGAGAAAGUGGCGUCCAGCUGCAUAUGUCUGUGCUAUAGAACUAACUAAGAAUUUGGAUAGGUGAAAAUGUGUGUGUGUGUGUGUGUGUGUGGUGGUUGUGGUCUUUGUAUGAUCCAUCUAAGCAUAAGAUUGUUGAAGUCACCAAAAUAAAUGCUAUCUAGGGGAAAUGAAAACUGGAGGUAAGGGAGUGGGGGAGGAGGGAUGGGGACAAGGGGUAUAAAAACAGGGGCAAGUGACUCUGGUUUAUCCAUUUUGGUUCCCUUAACCCUCAUGUCUUUAAAAUAUUACACAGGAACUUGUCCCUCCCAAAUAAUGUGGGAGAUCAUAGUACCGAAGUAACGUGUGAUGAUUAAUAAUAAUGUUAGAAAGUCUUGAUUUUACAUCAUUAUCAACAAAUUUGGGUUAGAGGAAGGAGGGUGGUGUUCGAGAGUAGCAAGGGGAGGCUAUGGUGUGGGGGUGUGGAAAGCUAUUAGAAAAGAAUGGGAGGGUAUUCGUUGCAGAUCUCGCUUUAUUGUUGGGAAUGGGAGAAAGGUCAAGUUUUGGAAGGACUCGUGGUGUAAAGACCAAACAUUGAAAGAAGCAUUCCCUAACCUAUACCGGUUGGCGGUUAACAAAGAUGAGUGGGUGUCAAAUGCUUGGGAGGGGAGUGGGGAGUCGGGUUGUUGGAACCCUCACUUCUCAAGGCAUUUUAAUGAUUGGGAAUUGGAAGAGGUGGAGAGCUUGUUAUGAAAAUUUCAUCCUUUGGUAGUGAGAAGAGAAGUGGAGAAUGCUUUGAGUUGGAAAUAAAGUAGGGAUGACAUUUUCUUUGUUAGAUUCCUCUACCGCUCCCUCACGAGGGCCAAUAGUGACCCUUUUCCUUGGGGUCUUAUUUGGAGGUCUUAGGCUCCUAUGAGGGUGGGUUUUUUUGCUUGGGAAGUGUCUUGGAAGAGAAUUUCGACCAUCGACUAGCUAAAAAAAGGGGGGAUGGAAUAUGCCGAACAGGUGCUACAUGUGUAAAGAGAAAGAGGAAACUAGUGAUCAUUUAAUCUUGUUUUGUAAAAAGGCUACAAUGCUUUGCAGAUUGAUUUUCUCCCUUUUUGGUGUCUUCAAUUAAAAGGAAUUUGCUUGGCAUGGUGCUUUUGUGGGUAAGAGGAGUGAGAAGGCUUAGAGGGCUGCCCCUUUAUGCUUAAUGUGGACCUUAUGGAAGGAAAGAAAUGAAAUAUCAUUCAAUGAUAUCGAACGAUUAAACCAAGCUUUAAAACAUUCCUUUUUGUAUACUCUUGUAAAUUGGGCUAGGGUGUUUAUAGAGGAUCAUACUGUCUAUGAUUGACUUUAUAAAAUGGCUAUAUGUCUAGCUAGGGGAAAGGUUUUUUGUCUUCUUUGCCUAGUUCUUUUGGCAUUCUAAUUGUAUACUUUGUGUAUACUAUUUUCACCAUUUCUAGGCGCUUCUAAUACAACCUCUACUUACCUAUAUAAAAAAAAAGUCCUGAUUUUACAUGAUUCUCUUUGGAUCAUUAGUAAAGUUCCCAUUUCUGUCUUGGUGGAUUCCUUUCACGAUAACACUUAGAAAAUGGAAAACAUGAUGUUCCAUGUUUACUAUUGAACUGGCUAUUUCUAUUUGACCAUGGUUCUCAAUGAAGCAACCGCUGAACAUUAUUUUGAUUGUUUUGCUUUGUUCAAACCUAUAUCCUAAAAGGGUGGGCUUUGGUUGACCCCUCUCUCUCUCUCUCUCUCAUACACACAUGUUAAAUCACUUUUUCUUUCUCUUUUCAUGUUGCUAACCUGUCUUAGUCAAGAGUAACUUCAAAGUUAUUUUCUUUUUCUCUUAGUAAGUACUUAAAGGGAUAAAAUAUCAAGAAUAGUCAAUAGAUCAGCGUGAUAAUAUCAAUACCCCUGUAUUUCCAUUGAAAAUAUGUCAAAACAAUGUAACAGUUGCGAGCCUGUGAUUUAUAUCAGAAGUCCUCAAUAUAUGAUUAGCAAGUGAUAUAUCUCCAGUAUCGGUGCUAUGUGCAUUCCUGGUGUUUAAUGUGUUGAGUAAUCAUUUCCCUUUCACAAAGAACUAGAAACUUAAUUUACUAGUCUCAUAUCUUUACUGGACAGGUGGUUGAAUUAUCAAUGAUGGAUUAAAAGGGAAAUCUCCAAUGUUUUAGUCUUGUAGGGUGGGUAGGUCCAAAUAAAAUCCUCCUGAGAGCAUUUUCUACUCGAUAUAGAGAAUUUUGAAUUGUGCAGUAUUGUUAUUUUUUAAAUUAAGUCAUGCUAGAAUGUUGUAGAAAGAGGCUAACUAUCUAAGAUGUGAAGAACUUGGAAUGCCAUAAGAAUCUGAUUCAUUCAACCCUUAGUCUAUCAUCAAGUAUAAAUAUUGUGGUAUUGGAAGGGUGCCUAUCUAGGUAAUUUAGCUCAUCUCACUUACCAGAUGAAUCCUUUUUUUUGGUGCAUGAUUGGUUGUGUAUUAAGUUUCAAAGUACAUUGACUUAGAUAUGGUUUUAAAUGCACAGGUUUGUGUUCCUCUAAAACAUGCCACUUUGGAAUAAAUCAGGACCUGCUGUAUAAUUAGUAGAUUAAGUAGACAAAAAACAUGAUGUGAUCUACAGGGGUUAGUCCUGUUGCCCAAACCCUAAUGGGAUAGUGCUGGGGAUAACUAUAGUGAUUCAAAAAAUAAUAAAUAAAUAAAAAGCACAAAAAUUGGCUUUAUUUUUUAUAUAAUUUUAAUCAAAUUCAACUAAAUUUGUGACAGUGGAAAACCUUUUAUAUGAUUUUGAAUAAAAAUUAAAUAAGAUAUUUAGAACUUGUACUGUUGUACAAUUGAUAUAUUGAAUGAGACCCAUCAAUUGGUGAUCUCUGAUGGUGGAUGAAGUAUCGGUUGAAAACAUGAUUUCCUAAAUGUAAUGAAGGUGAGUCAUUGGUUGAACUUUGUUUGAGAGAUAAUUAUGCAUAACGAAUCACUGUAUAAUUCAGAAUGCAUGGGUUCUUGGUUUCUCUUAAAACAUGCUCUAAAGAGCAAAAAACAUCAGGAUGCACUAUAUGGUUAGUAGAUCAAUUGUACUAAAAUAAUUACAUGAUAUGCUAGGAUUUCCCCUAUGCAUCAAACCCUUGUGGAAUCCUGGCCAGCCUGGGCAAAAACAUUUCCCAAGUCUGUGGUCUAUGAGUUUGGAAGUGAUAGUGAUUACAGUUCUUUGCAUUUGGUUCAACCCCAAACAAUUAAGAAUCAGAAAAUUUUGCAAUGGAUGGAGAAAAGCUUGAUUUUUUCUAGAGGGCAUGUUAUUUUCUAGAUUGUAUUAAUGGAGAUCUGACUGCUGGUAGAAAAUAGUUGGGGUUCAUUUCAAAUGAGAAAACAUUAAUUGGGAUGUCAAGUAGUUAUCAUUGAUGAUUUUAGAAAUUAUUCUUUAUAGUGAAGUCCUUUGCCAUGAUGAGUCAUUUGCUUUAAGCUUCAUGAUUAUCAAUGCUGGUGAAUCUUCAUGGAUGUGUGCAUGAUGUCAUCUGGCAUGUUCUAUGAACAACUUUUUCAUCAGACUGGGUUAAUUCUGUAGAUCAUGUAAUCACUGCUGAUGCUGUUUCCCUCUUUUCCCCUAGGAUAUCAUGCAAAUGAGAUUCUCUAAAAUUUUACUUGUGGUGUCUAGUUGGAAUAAUUUUGAACAUUUGUUUUGGAUUUGUUGAUUUGGUAUCUUGCUGCAUUUCCCCCCCACUUUUCCUGCUAUCCUUUAGUUGCAUGUAACUGAGGCUUGCUUCACUCCUAUCUCAUGUAGGUGGUCUGCUGAUGCUAAUGGUGGCACAUUAGAAUCUCUUGGAUAUUGAUGUCGAUAUCCCAGAUGGUACAUGGGCAGAGGCUCCAAGCUUCCAUGAUAUCCUUAUCUUUAACACAGGACACUGGUAAUGUUGUUUUCCCCUUGAAACACCAUAUGCUGUAGUUUACAUUAACAACUUAGGCUAGAUUUUUAGACACCUGAUCCAAAUACUCAUUAUCAAGCAGUUGCAGAAUGUGGAGAUUGUUUUGCAACCAUAAUUCUGUAAACUAGCAUUUAAACAUUCUGAAAAUUCUCUUUCAUUAAGAUACUGUUUUUACAUUUGCACAAGGAUGGCUCAUGCAUGGACAGCUCUCACAGCACUUUCCUGUUCAGUCAGAUGUUCCCCUUCAUCAGACCAUGCAUAAGAUUCUCAUAAUUAACCUGAGGCAAAAUCAAAAUGAGCUUCCAGACUCAAACACACUUGUUUGUCUAUGCAUAACUUCACAUGCAUGUUACCAUACAUAAUCUGUAAAGAUACCAUGAGAAUUCCAUCAAAACAAUGGUGCUGCAUGCAGUACCAGGAUGGAUACCUACAGUCAAAUGAAGACGUAACCAUUAUUUUAGGCCUGUAUUAAUGCAUGGACUCUGCCUAUCAGGUGUGGACAAUCCUACUAGCUAUGCGUUCGAAAACAGGAAUGCAGACACAUCUCACCUACGGAUUGCCAAUAAUGUUAUUACAUGGUGUCUCCAUGUGACAAAAAUAGUAGCCUCCUCAUCCCAUACAAAUUUAUAACAAAAGUUUCCUGCUAAUCAAAUAAACUUAGAAAGAUAAAAAGAGAAGAAAAGAGAAGAAAAAUCCAUGCAUGGUAUCUGUAAUGAUGAGUGUUAUUGAACAUUAUGUUGGUGGGUGACGCAUGAUAAAAUACUUGAACUCAAAAUAAUGGUUUCUACGCCCUCCAUUCACCCAAUUGGCCAAGAUUUAGGAAAGUUUAUGUUUUUAAAGGCUAGUGAAGUAGAAGAAUGUUGUUUGGUUUGCUGGUUAAAAGCUUGGGCCUGCAAUUUAGGGAAAAUGCUGCUUGUAAUUUCUUGACAACAAGGAAAAUGUAAGAUUUUAGUGCUAGGAAGGUGAGGUUAAGCCAGGGUUAGGGUGUCAUAUUUUAAAAGUUGGUUAUUCUUAUUGUAAGGGCUGAUUGUGUGGAAAGUUCACAUAAUGAUUCAGCAAAUUAGAAGGAACAAUUAAAAGAAAGGACAGAAGAAUGAGAGCAAUAAGAAGAAUCUAGACAAUCAUGUCUGAAAUGCUCAAUCCUCAAACUAGAACUUUCAUAAGCUCCAAUCUCAUUUUGGUAAAUAGCUCCUAGUUUGUACUCUUGAAAACUUUCUAGGCAAGCAAAAGAAUCUUAUAGAAACAAAAUUAACCAAUAUUUAUAUAAAAUAGGGUUUCUUUAAUUCCUGAUGGGCUGAUUUGGAACCCUAGAAAACACUUCAAAUGAACUUGAAGUAGAUACUCAUAAAAAGCAAAAACCUAAAGAAAAUAGAACUGAAAUAGAAAUUUCUUUAAUUAAGUAAUUUUCAGCUAAGAAGACUUCCUAAAUUUUAAAUAAGAUUCAAGGAAGCCCUAUAGACUCAUAAGCAAGGAACUACUAAGAACACCGGACAGUCAUAAUCUUAAAAAUUGCUUAGAUUCUUACCCAUCUAGUUUUUCUCUUUCUGGUUAACAAAUGACCACAUCAAUUGGUUUGAAGGGAAUUUCUCAUAUUUUCUGAUUUUCUUCCAAACAAUACUUUUAUUAAAAAGAAUUACUUGGAAUGCUAUACUUUUUUUCAGAGAAUUAAGCUAUUGUGUAGGUAAAAUCAAUGUUUUUUGUUUUGGGUCUUUUUUUUUCCUUUUUCUUUUUUCAUUUUUCUCAUUCCGCUAACCAUAUUUAAGUUGUCAUCUUAAAAGGCUAAUUUUAUUGGAAAAAAUUUAUAUGUAGGAGAUCGCUCAAAGGUAAUACAUAUGUAAUUUCUAAUACAUAUUUGUAGGAUCAUGUGCGAGUUGGUUGUGGGGUGUAUGAAGUCCAAUGUGAAUUUGUUACUCAUUCAAGUUAAAUUUCGUGUUAUCAUAUGUUGGUAUAUGGAUUUAAUAGAUAUGUCAAAUCCUUUAUCUUUUGUGUAGGGUAUUAUUCUUAUUAUCUAAUGGAGAACCAAAGUUGCUAAAGAUACUUGAUGUAUGCUAUGAAGUUAAGGAUUUUUUACAUCAAUUGGACAUAGAUGAUGAUACUCUUACAAAAGCAAUUAUUGGACCCACAAUGGAUGCGAAUAUUACCAUCUCAUGACAAGGAUAAUGAAAUUAGAAUCUCAAAUAAAUUUUACUUAUUUAUAAGAACAAAACUUUUAUUAAAGGAUUAAUAAAAACUAAAAAUUAUAAUCAAUUUAUUUAAAUGAUUUCAAUAAAAAAUAAAAAUGAUGAUACAAUAAAUUAGGUAAAAUUAUUUUUAUUUAUUAUGAACUAUUUAUGUUAUAUAGUAUUCUUUGUCAUGUUUAUAAGAAUCAUGCCAUAAUUGAUAUUAGAUAGAAAUCUAAAGUGGACAAUUAAAAUUAGAUUUUCAAAUAAACCCUAUUUAUUUCAUUUAUAAGGACUAAUUUCUAAUUAAAGAGUUAAUAAAAAAAAUCAAAAUUUAUGAUUAAUUUCUCUGUAUGAUUUUGAUAAAAUAAAGAAAAUGAUGAUGAAAUAAAUUGGGUAAUAUUUUAUUUAUAUUUAUUUCGAAGUAUUUAUGCUAUAUAACAUUCCUACCUUAUUUACAAUAUUCAUGCCUCAAUUGAUAUAAUAUAGAAGCCUAAAGUGGCCGGAAUUGAUAUAAAUACGGAUUUUUCGGUAAUCAAUAGUUCGGUGAAAGCUCCAAAAACUACUCAAGUAGUGAGAACUCGACUAGUCAACAAAGUCAAUUAAAGGCAAAAAAAAACAUCAUCUAUAAACAUUUUAGUCCAAUACCAAAAAUUCAAAAUAAAAUAAUAAUUUAUCAUUUGGUUAGAAUGUUCCUUGUAUUCAUAUGCUUUUUUAUUCCUUUGGGAGCUGUUUGCCACCCCAUUUUGCAUUUUUUACCCAAGAGAAAGUCAUGUCAACCAAGGAGGGUCAUUCUAACCAAAUGAUAAAUUAUUUGGGUUGUAAAUUCAAAUCCUAAUUAAAUAGGCAAUAAAAGAGCUAAAUCUUUUUAAUCAAUAUCAAACUAGAGUUCGUUUGACAACAAUUCUAGAAAACAUUCCUAUACUUUAAACACUCGAAAAUUUUUAUCAUUCAAGUGUUGAAAAGAUUAGGAACGUUUCCUCAAACUUAUGUCAAACACACUCUUACUUUAAUACUAGAUCUGCAUGUUAAUGCUAUUAAAAUUCAGACAUUUAAAAUAAAAUAAAACUUGGUUUUUGAAAAGAUCAGUGAAUGGAACUAUUACAGAUUGUCAAUGGACACAGUACACCAAUUAGACUGAAAAUUUUCCAUUCUGUAAACGAACCUGAAUCCUGAUAAAACGAUCUGCUGAUGGGGAACAAGAAGUCGGUUCCAAAUUAGAAGAUUUGACACUGAAAUCAAAUGGAAGAUACAAAGGACAAGGCCCGGCCCUCUUAGGUAUUGUCUGGUCCAGAAGCUGGUUAUGCAUGGAUCUCCUCAACCUGGAAAAGCUCCCAUGCUGCUUUACAAAUAAUACAGUUUAUUGAUUGCCAUGCAUAAAUAUGAGCAAUUGAUUCAUACUUCCUAAUCAGCCCUCCCUUGCAUAAAGCAAGCCAUUGAUAUUAGCAUUCUAAUUGGCCACCACCCAUGCAAAUGCCUUCUCAUAGAAGGGUUGAAAUCAAGGAGAAUUUAUCACCCCCACAGAGAAAAAAACACCAUAUGUUUCAUUAUCUCAUCACAAAACCAUAACAAAGGUUAUCCAUAAUUAAAACAUCAUACCAUCCAACAUCUUGUUUGCUUACAAAAAAUGGUAGACAGUUACUAAGUUCCACAACUUCAAAAAAGACGACCAAAUUUACACGUUCGUGUGGGAAACAUGCAUUACUCCAUUUCUAACUAAAGGGUGUUGUUUAAGCCAAAGGAUUAGUGCAUGUAGCCCUAUUGUGGCCUAUCCCAUUACACCGAGAACAAUGAAUAGAUCUCUUUUGCCUGAAUUUAGACUCAGUAUGUCGUUGUUGAGAUCUUCCAAGUGGACAUUUUACCUUACGGGGUUCCAAAGGAGGAUAUGAAUCAUCUUCAUCAUCACGUACAAUACCAUCAAUAUCAAGUUUAGGCAUGUUGUGCAUGGGUAAGGAAUGAAAUGAGCCUGGAUAGAUCAAUUCCUGAGUGGACAACUUGUAACAUGGCUCAACAUACUCAUAUGCCCCUUGCAUCAUCUUGCGAGCAACUGCACAGGCAUGAUCACAUGGCAAUCCAGACAUUUGCCACACCUUGCAAGUACAAGACUCCUCUUUGAAAACCUUAAAUGUAGGAUUCACUUCCCAUUCCAUACAUCUAGAUGCAAAACCUCUUGGUUGCUUUGUAUUGCAUAAUACUUCACACGAUGCAGAGGAACUAACAGCAUCUCCACCAAUACAACUGCAUAUUAAACCAAUAGAAAUGCAUUUAUAGUUAGCAUAACUACUUUAUUGGACAAGCAAUAUGUUUGAUGUAUUUGGGUCUAAAAAUGCAUUACCAUUUUGCAUUCUCUCCAUCUACUAUCUCUCUUUGAACCCCUUCUUCUCUAGCUGAAUGCACUAUGUAUACACAUGUAAAUUCAUUGUUAUGCAAGACCAUAUCUUUCACAUCUUCAUCAUCAUCCAAAUCUAGAAGGAUAUUGGGAUCAUAUUUCACAAUGUAGUAAAAAAUUUUCCCUUCUCUGUUAAUUUUCAACUUCUCACAUGCCCUAUCAAGGAAUUCAUCAAAUGACAUUCCAUGGUAAAUGUCGAUUCCUUUGACUCGCCCACCUUUGUAGUUCACUUGCCUACCAACCCUGUAUUCAAGUUCACCCCCUUCAUAAAGGUAGCAAUAAAUUUGGCUCCUACCUUCCAUUCACCUAGUAAAAGAGAAUAGGCCAACUGCAUAUUAGAAGUCAUAAGCAAGAACAUGUCAAAAUCAAUCCUCAUCCACCAAUAUGGAGACAUUGGCUUCAGACAGAAAGGGAAUUUAACCCUUGUACACAACUUGUACAACCAAUGCAUUUUGCUCAUGCAAUUACUAUAAAUGAACUGGUUGAUUUUGUAUUGCCCCUGAGCAAUACGUUUUUCCUAAAUACAAACAGAAAGUGGGAUGCGGGGAUUUUGAAAUUUUUCUUCCUUUUUAACUAAAAACAUCAACUUUUAGACUAAUUAUCACAUACAAUCUCCAGACCAAGAUCAAUUCCAAAACAGAAAAGAAAAGGCCUUUUCCUUUGAACUUCGAAUAGACAAAAUCCCAGACACCAAUAACACAUACAACACAUGCAAUAAUAGAAACUGGAAACACCCAAAAUCAUCCUGAAACACCAACAAAACCACUCUCACUAUGAUGCAAGAUGGGUUUGCAGGAUUCUACCGGAGAAGAAGUUUAGUACGGCGUCGAUUGAGUAUCUGAUGUUGACGGUUGCCAGGCAGCCCGGGAUGUGAGGGCUCGUAAACUAGAGAAGCUCGGUCCCCCGUCUUCGGUCUUGUUUGGGUCUUCCCGUUAGAGGUGUUUUUUUUUUUAAUUAAUAUUCUAGGUUUUUUUUUUUUUUUUUUUUAGUUUUUUGAGGAAUCCGAAUAUUCAUUUUAUUUAAUUUUUAUUUUCAUUUUUGAUAAUAUAAAUAUAUAAUAUAUAUGGAAAAAAAAUUGAUAAUAUAAUACAAUAAAAGGUCAAUAAAUAGUUUAAUUAGUAAACAAACAAUACUAAAAUGUAAAGAAAAGUAGUUGUAAUAUAAAGAAAAACAUUUAUUACCUAAGUGAGAAUUUAAUUUCAAAAAUCAAAUGAGAAUUCAAUUCAUCACAUAUUAUGAUCCAUUCAUCUCAUAACAAAAUAUAAAAUAAUUUAAAAUUACUAUUUUACCCUUAAAUUUCAUUCAUUAACUCCUAUAUUUCUUUAUUUUAUAAUAAAAGUAUUUUUUUAAUCUUACUAUUUAUUACCAAAAAUAAAAGGGAGAAUUACCCUUAAGGGUAGGCUGGGGAAAAAUAUGAUCGAUGAGGGUGGGUAAAGUUGAUAAUUAUUGUAAAGGGUAGGAUAAAAUUAUGAUAAUUCCUCCAAAGGCCUUAUUUUGUUUAAAUGUCAAUACUACCCUUAAUAAGUGAAAAGUAACAGCAAAGUGAAAAGCAACAGAAAAUAAAAAAGAGUUUUCUUCAACCUACUUGGAGUUUGUCGGUGUUGUAGAAGAAAAAAGGGAAAGGAAAAAGGUCCAACACUUUAGGUCAUUAUCUGCAACCGUUUACACAAAACUUGUUUUUUUUUUUUUGUGUGAAUCUAGCAAGAAAUCCAUUAAAGGUCAGUUUUUUUUUUUAAUACAAAAAAAAAACGUCAGUUUAUGGAAAAAUAAAUAAAUAAUUUAAAAAUCGAAUUGAAUGAAGGAAAAGUUAAUAAUUUUAACAAUGUAGCUGUAAGAUAUUAGAUCUGAAAUAUUGAAUGAGGUUUUGAGAAGAAAUUACAUUUUUUUUUAAAUGUUAUUUAAAUUUAUUAUUUUGAAUUUUUUAUAUUAUUUUGGUCAUAUUGAAGAUGUGUUUUUAUUUUUAAUUUAUUUUCUAGGUGGGUUGUUUGAUAUGAUUAUUAUUGAUUUCCAUUGAAAAGGUUUGCACUUUAGUUUUGUUGUUAAGACUUUUUGACAUGAUUGAAGAAAAAAUGUUCUCAGUUGUUUCAUGCUUGUUUGGGACCACUUUGUUUGUGUAUUUAUAAACAUAUUUGGAUUGUCAUUGAAAACUGAAAUCCCCUUUGUACGAGACCACUUUGUCUUUUAUUAUGAAUUUGUUAAAGAGUUAAGAUCACUAUAUUUUUGUUAUAAAUUUGUUACCUUUUUGUAUAAGUAUUAUUUUGGUAUGAUGAGUCGAAUGCCUAGUAGUUUAAAGGUUGUGUAAAAGAACCAUUAUUUCAGUUAUAAAAUAUAAGUACAAUACAAAUGCAAUAUAGUUACAAUGAAAAAACAUUAACAUUAUGAUACAUUACAAUAUACCAAAAUGACAAAAUAUUGAAUUAUUUUUUACUGAAUUGGUAUUUCUAGGCUAUCAUGUUGUAUUCCUAUCAUAAAGCAUCCUUGCAAGCCAAAAUUAUAAAUAAAUAAAUAAAAAAAACAACAAAAAUACACUAUUGUAAUUUCAAUACAUGAAAGUUGUUAAUGAUAAUCCAAUGAUGGAUAAAAAAAAGUCUAUAAAAUUAAUUUUUUUUAUAUAAAAAUAUAGAGGUAUAAUAAAAAUACACUACAAUUACAAUACAAAUACAAUAACAUUACGAUACAUUACGAUAAGGUAAAAUUUUGAAAAUGUCAAAUUUCUUAUGAAACUGGGCAAUUAUGGGUUCUUUGGCAUAUCCCUAACAUGUAUAAUAUACAACAAAUAUUGUUAUUUAUUAUAUAAAAUAUGUCUCAAUUGAUUAUAAUUUUCAUUUGUUUAUUUUGUAUUCGUUGUAAAAUUUUCAUUGAUUGUAAUAUUGUGAAAUAGAUUGAUUUGAUUGUCGGUGAAAGAAGACGUACUUCUGAAUUGGUAAAUGGACUUGGAAAAUUCCACUUAUGGCUACCUUCAUGAAGGAGGGGAGAUUGUACCUAAGGAGGAUAAACAAAUACAAUACAAGGGUGGACAACAAAAAGGCAUGUACAUUGGACAAGGGAUGUCAUAUGCUGAAUUUGUUUCAAAGGCAUGUGAACGGUUGGAUAUUAAUUCAAAUGGAUAUACAUUUCAUUACACCCUUGAGUUUGAUCCAUCUGCACUUCAAGAGUUGGAUGAUGAUCAUGCAUAUGAUGUUAUCCCAUAGUUAUGAUUAUGCUCAUAUUUAUGUAUUAAAACGAACUCGAAGAGUAGAAGUUGAAGGAGGUAUAGUCAAUGUGCAAAAUGAUUAUUGGUAAGUGAUAUAUCUUGUAUUAGUUGUCAUUAAUUCCAUGAUGCAAAGUGCUUUUAAUAUUAAUUAACUGAGUGUGCUAUAAUAUGAAGUCACAAUAGUACGGAGGAAACACACAAUUCAGUUGCAUCAUGUCAAGCAAACAAUGAGUCUAAUUUAGGACUUUCUCAAGACUUCAUGUCCAGAUGUGCAAAAACUGAAGUUAUGUCACAUGAUUUAAGUCUUUGUCCUCAACCUAUUAUUAGGAGUGGGCAUAGUUUUCCUAAUGCAAAUGAAUUUAGAAAUGCAUUAUAUACGAUGUCAUUAGUUGGUAGAUUUCAAUACAAAUUCAAAAAGAACUCUCCAAAGCGAAUAUUUGUGUGUUGUUUAGUGGAUGGGUGCCCUUGGAGAAUAACUGCUAAUUCAGUAGGCACAACCAAAAUUUUGAAGGUUAACAUCUUCAUUGAUGUACACAAUCAUUGUGCAGAUGUUGAGUGUUCAAGCCAACCUUCAAUGCAGGGAAGGAGAGGUGCUCGUGUCAUAGAGCAAGUAAUAAGGGCAACCCCUCAGUAUUUGCCCCAUAAAAUUUGCAAAGACUUCAGGAGUCGGUAUGGUGUUUCAUUGAGUUAUAAGCAAGCUUGGACAUACAAAGAAAUGGCAAAAGAGAGAAUAUAUGGUAUUCUAGAAAACUCAUAUAUGUUGUUGCCAUGGUUAUGUUAGAGAUUGGUAGACAUUAAUCCAGGGACGAUUGCUGAAUGUAGCAGAUAAGAUGGGCAUUUUUGGAAAUUGUUCAUUGCACAUUUUUUUUCAAUUCAAGGGUUUUUAAUGGGUUGUCGACCUGUUAUUGCAAUUGACUCAACUCAUUUGAGUGGACCGUAUAGGGGCUCUUUAUUUUCUGCAACAGCUUAUGAUGCUGAUGAUGGCAUGUUCCCAAUUGCAUUUGGUGUUGUAAGUUCAGAAAACUAUGAGGAUUGGCUAUGGUUUUUGCAAAAAUUGAAGGGCAUACUUCAAGAUAAAGAGGUAGUCAUAAUAUCAGAUAGGCAUCAAGCAAUCCUUCGUAGUGUUUCUCAACUUUUUGGAGUAGAAAAUCAUGCAUAUUGUUAUCGUCAUGUGAAAGAGAAUUUUAAUAGCUAUGUGACGAAACAUAGUAUGAAGGGAAAAAAAUGUAAAAUGGAUGCAUUGUUGCUACUUGAUAAUGUUGUGUAUGCUAGGUUGGAUGAUGAUUAUGUUGUAGCCAUGGAAAAAUUAAAGACAUAUAACAGUGACCUAGCGAAUUGGGUUGAAGAGAACAGUCCACAACAUUGGGCAAUGUCAAAGUUUGCCAAAAAACGAUGGGAUAAGAUGACAACUAAUCUUGCUGAAUCAUUCAAUGCUUGGCUGAAGGAGGAACGUCAUUACACAAUUUUCAACUUAGUAAUGACACAUAUGGAUAAGUUUACUCAUCAAGCAUGUGAUCAUAUGGGUACUACAGAAAAUUGGAAAGCUCUACUUGGCCCAAAGACCGAGGAAAAGUUGUUGGAAAAGAUUAUAAAGAGUGGGUCAUUGCCUAUAUAUCCCUAUGUUGGUGGUGUGUUUAAGGUAUUCAAUAUGAAAGUAUAUGUAAAAGUGAAUUUGAGAUAGCGUACAUGUACUUGUAAGGCUUGGAAAAUGGCCGAAAUACCUUGUGAGCAUGCAUGUGCAGCAAUACGCCAGAUGAAACAAGAUGUUUAUGAAUAUGUUGACUCAUAUUUCAAGCUUCCAAUGUAAGAGUUGAUAUAUUUUGGACACUUCAAUUCAAUUCCAAAUCACAAUAUGCCUAUAGUUGAUGUUGAUGGAUGUGUUCGUGAUGCUCAAGGUCGCUUAUAUCCUUCACUUAAACCUCCAUGCUCAAAACGACCACCUGGAAGGCCUCGACACCGUCGAAUAAAGUCUCAAUUUAGUUCAAAAAGGCUUAUCUUCUGUUCACGAUGUCAAGUUGCAAGCCAUAAUCGAGCUUCAUGCAAAAAACCACACAUUUUUAUCUUAUUUUGAUUGUGAUGAUAUGUGUGGUUUAUGAAAUUAGAAUCUAUAAGAAUUUGUUUUGGAACUUACUUAUUUACUUGAUUGUCAUGAUAAAGAUGUUUGUAUUACAUAUGCCACUAUUUUAGACUUAUGAUCUUAUCAUUAUUUAGGGUGGUUUGUAACCAUGUUUCUAAUGUAAUUUUGAAGAUUAUUAUUGACUUUGUACAUGUUCAUUACAUUUGUUUAACUUGUUUUCCAUUGAAAUACAGGUUACAUCAUGGCAUCUUCAAGUGCUUCAUUUAGAAAUAUAAGAAGUAAUACUAGAAAUGGUGAAUAUCUACUUUAUCAUAACUGUAUGUGUAAAUGUUCACCCAGACAGAGGGCGGCUGUUAGAAUCUCUGAAUCAAAGGAUAACCCAAAUAGGUUAUAUUAUUGUUGUCAAUAUGCAAAUACUAGAGAUGACUGUCAUUUCUUUAAAUGGGCAUUCCCGGAAGGAAAUGGUGAUGGCAACACCUACCAAGAACCAGAAAAGGUUGUUCAAAGAAGAAUGUAUGGCGUGGAUGAAGAUUUUAAACAUAUUUUAACAAGAAUUGAGUUCAUGCAUAAAGUAAUUGUAGUAGGACUACUUUUAUUUUUUGUUCUAUGUUUGAAAAUUGCUUAAUCAUACACUUACUUCAUGUCUAUUAAGUUUUAGAUUAUAUAUGUAAUGCUUAAUUGUAUUGUACUUUGAUGUAUUUGUAUUUGGAGUUAUUUGUAAUAGGUUAUUUAUCUCCAUUAUGUGGACUUGUAUUAGAUUUUUAAUUAUAAUAAUUCACAGUUUUGCCUACAUUUUUAAUUACAUUUACAACAUAAAUUCACUAACAUUACGAUAAAAAAACACUAACUGUAUGAUAAAUUACAACAUAAACUAACAAUGCAAUCUUUUGACUAAAUAAAGUCCAAUUUCUUGGGUUGAUUACCAAUUUCUUAUAUAUAAUGGUUCAAUAAUUUUUUUUUUUUUUUGUAACCUCAAAUUAGAAAUGUCUUCUUAGCUUUGAUAAUGAGUUGUUGUAUUUUUUUUUUAAAAAAAAAAAAUUGCAACGAUCUGAAAACAUUAUAGAAUAGAGUUAUUCAUAAACUUAUUUGCCUGUAAAAAUAAAUUAUAUUAAUUUUUUAAUUUAUUAAAUUAAAAUCUAUUUCUUAUUUUUCUAUUUUUUUAAUAAUUUUUUCCGUUGAAAUGGAUUCAAAAUGGUAGCUUUUACCAUGCAAAACUAGAGUGUAAAACCUUUUGUCAUUUAGUUAUAAAGACUUUGAAAUACUUGAAAUUACUCUCUUAUAGGUUUCUUGAAAAGUUAAUAUGUUUAAUAGGAAUUUUUUAAAAUAAGAUAAAAUAAUAGACCUCAUUGUGUGUUUAUUACUACAGUGAAAAAAAAUUACUACAAUGAAUCAGUGAUUGUGCAAUUUUAUGUUGUUGGAGUUAUAAUAAUAAACCUCCUUGUGUGUUUAUUUUAUGGGUUGGAUUUCUCAUUGUAUGACAAUAUAAUUAUGAAAUCAAUCUCAGAUUUUGGAGUUUGGGAAAUGAUGAGAGAUUCAAACAGGUUAGCAUAGGCUUAAUGGUUUUUUUGCCAUGCUGAAUAUUUUUUGCACGUCAGUCUGAUGCCAAACUUUGUGAAGUACAACAAAUAUGAUAGUCUUUUUGUUUUGUUCUUGAUGUUGUUAUUUCAAUUCUGCUUUGGCAGAAAAAAAAAAAAAAAUUGAUCACCCAAGUAGCUGAGCUAAGUUAUCCCAGAUUGGCCUAUCAUUGAUGCGUUGGAGUUAUCAAUGUGUGAUAUCAUUUUGAUGCGUUGGAGUUAUCAAUGUGUGAUAUCAUUUUGAUGCGUUGGAGUUAUCAAUGUGUGAUAUCAUUUUGAUGCCAUGGAGUUUGGGAAAUGAUGAGUUGACAGUGCAAUGCCUACAGCAAUUCAAAGAAAUUUGAAGAUCACAAACAAAUGAUACCAUAACAAUAAUUAUUAAUAAAUAGUAGCAGCUAUGAGUUCCAAACAAAUUAGUUGAUGUAAGCUAAUCUGUAAAGAAAUAUCAGACUAGUAAAUUUGGAAAUGGAACUCCAUUAGACUAUCAAAAAGUAUCAACAACUAUAAACCAAAAAAACUACAACAUCACUAAUCCAUAGCCUGGUAGACAUUUUCCCUGACUUCAUUUUCUGGAGACAUUAUCAGUUGUGUUAUGAGUUUUUCCCUAUACUUUAUGGCCUUGUCCUGUACAAAAAAGUAUAUAAUAUAAUAUUAAGAAAAAUUCACGAUCAUAAAAAAAAAAAAUAUUUUAUUCACCACAAUAUAAUAUAUUUGCAAUUGCACGAGAAAGUCCACCGUUACUCCAUAAUUGCAUAAACUUGAUUACAAAUAUGCCACAAUCCGUUCUACAAAUAGUAAUUAAGGAAAUUAUAAGUCAAUUGAGUAUUAAAUUAGUAAGUUUAUAACCUGAUUUGCUUUCCAUAGUUAAAGAGGAAUACAAAUCUUGCAACUUACGGAUUCAAUUGUUGGACAACUUUUGGAACAACAAAUUCAAAUUCUAUCAUAUCCACUGAUGGUCUUCUUUUUUGAAUCCCAAUGAUAGUUGACAAAACGUUCACCUUAACACAAUAUACAAUUAUAAAUAUGGACAUCUUUAAAAAAUAAUGACAACGAUUCACAUAAGUAAUCGGACUAUAACUAUAUUUACCAGUUUCUCUAUGAAGGCAUCCAUCCGUUUUUUCCUUCCGUCAAUUAAUGAAUCCAACAACUCGAUUCUUUUCGUAUGAAUAUUCAAAAUGAUUAAAUACCAGUGAUUUUUCCUACAUAUUGGUAUGAACAACUAAAAGGAACAAAAAAAAAAAAAAAAACAAUGAUUUUAUCAAAUUAGUUGUGUUCAUGUAUUUUCUGCACAAUACUUAAAAAUAUCCAACUACAAAGUACUUUUAUUAAACUAAAUAAAACCUGUUCAUAUGUGCACAAUUGAGUAUUUUUGAAAUAUUUCCAUAAAUUGUCACAUAUGUAUUUUGGAGAUAAGGAACCCCUCUUGUUUUCCACAUCAGACUGUAAUAAAAAAACUACAAACCAUACAUUAGAUUAAAACAAUCUACGUAAAACAAGAAAACCAAUCUAUAAUUCUUACAACAUAUCUUACCACAAAGUUUGGAGAUAAGAAAUGCUUCCUAUUUUCUUUAUCCAUACCAUUCAAAAUUCGACAAUGCAUGUUACAACCUUCAUGUAAAUUAAUGAAAAUUAGAUAUAUAGUUUUAGAGUAAUUUUAUCCUAACUUCACAUAACUAAAUAUGAAUACCUUAUUGUCAACCAAUUUGUCGGGUCCCAAGCAUUUCAAGUCAAACCUUGUCAAGAAGAAAUUGUGCAUGGAACAUAAUAUUUGGCUACACAUAAAUAAUUAUGAUGUUAGAAAUUAAAACUAAUUAUUUCAAUUGCCUAUCUUAAUUGUAUUUGUUUAUACUAAAUUAAGUUCAACCUUACCUUUCAUCACGUGUAUCGUCCAAUGCAUAUGCCAAAACUUGCUUUGCUACAGAUGAAGACACUGAAAAUUUGAUUGACGGUUGUACCAUGUAUGGUGAUUGUAGGGCAACAGCAUGUCGACGUAGCCGAUAUGAAUGUAUUGGAGGAUGUCUACUCUCGUAAGGAAUAAUAGCAUUCAUCUGAACUUCAUCCUCAACUGUAUGUAUAGAAAAUAAGAGAAAAUAAAAUUCAUUAAUGAAAAUAACACGCACAGAAAAUACUAGCCAUUAUUAUAUACUCAUUAUUAUUUUGAUAUUAAAACAUAAAGAAGCAGAAAGUAUACUGCUAUACUGCGCUGCUGGCUAUGAGGUUGAUGAGCCUGCAUUAUCUUCACCAUGAGCAAAACAAUCAUUCAGUGGCGAUCCAUAAGCUAAUUUCAGAAUGCAUAAUAACCAGAAUUAAUUUUUCCAAAAAAAAAAAAUUAUACAACAUUUGCAAUUAAAUUAAAAGUAAUACAAAAUUACAAUGACUAGUGCUAUAAAAAUCGUACUACCAUGUGGUGGUGAUGGGAAAGAAUCAUUGAUAUCAGGUUGAUUAUGACUUCUACUUUGAUGAGAAGAUGAUGGGGUUUUAUUUGUAUUCUGCCGCUUUGCUAGUUUAUCAAUUGUUCCUCUCAUUGUUCGAAGCAAUUGGUGAAUUUGUCUCUCCGCUGCAUUAUAUUCUGCUAUAAUUUCCUACAAAAUGGUACAAAGUGUCAAAGAUGUAUAUUAUUAUGCAUAACAUGUUUGGUUUUCUCUUUAAAUAAAAGAAUAGAUGUAGAAGGUUCUCACAUCAGUAGUCUCUUCUUCAACUUCAUUUACUGGAUUACUAGGGUCUUCAUGUGCAUCUUCCUUCCUUUCAUCUUCUUGAACCUACAAUAAUAAAAAGAAGAAUAUAUAAUUUUUAUAAAUUUAUUUUUCAAAUAUGAAAAUAAAAGAAAAUGUUGAAAGAAAAUUGUCUCUUACAUCAACUAGUCCAAAAUCACCAUAAUCAUGCAAUUCUGUAUGCACCCUUUUCUUCAUCAAGUCAUCAGUCCACGCUGCACAUAUUGGGAUGGUACAUGGAACCAACAUGGUUGGAAUGUAAAAUUUAUUUACAUAAAAAAGUUGAAACACAAAUAUUCCACACAUCAAUACGUUAUUUAGAAAAGACUUGUUAAAACAUAGAAAAUGAUAUGGAAACCUUUAGCAUUUAAUAAAAAAAAAGUAUCUACCUGUAAAAAAAUAAGGCAACCUGUAAACCAUGAGCCUUUACCCAAUCGAAAAUGUCUAAUUCCAGCAACCAGUGUGUCAAGUACAAAUUGACCCCAAUUAACAUUGAUGUCAAAGUCUCCAGCAAGCAAAGUACACCACAACUCAUGACUACCAUCCAACUUUGAUGUUGGAGCAAGUAAUGUAGCACAUGAGAAGAAGAUAAACAAUUUUUUGAACUCAGCCAUGUCUUCCAUUAAAAUCAGCCUAUCUCUAAGAUCUGAUAGGUUUUCCAUCCUAUUAUUCCUAUUGGUAGGUGAAAGUAAGAGCCUCCUACCAAUAUAUGAAAUACCCAGAAUUUCACCUACAUCAGAACAAGUUAUUGGAAAUUGUCUUUCUUGUCCUAUGUCUAACCUACAGUGGGCUAUAUUGAAAUGAGUUAUUAUCCAUCUACAUAAGCUAUGCCUUAUCUCUGUGGAAGAGAGCUGAAGUAAUCCACCAAAGCCAAUAUGUUGAAUUAUACUCUUCUUUUCAUCACUUAGCUCAUCAAGUAGAUGUCUAAGUUUUUUGCUAGGGCAUCGACUAUUUAUUUUGACCUCCUGUAAAAGUAAAUAAAUGAUAAUAUAAAAUUAAAAUUAAAACAGUCAAAUUAAACAACAAUGUCAAACAUUAAUAUAGUCAAAAUAAAAUAAUACUAAUUAAAAUAAUGUUCAAACCUGGUUGUAUUGUAUUGUUUUUUUCCUUUUAUCCAUGUAUUAUACUCCACACUGCACUAUGGAAUUUAUAUCAAAUAAUCAAUUAUCAUAAUUAAAUGUAUAAUGAAUCAAGUAAUGUUGUAAUAUAUUGUACUUCUAGUGCAGUUGUAUUGUAAAUGUAGGGCAUUUGUAUUGUACCCUUAUUUAUUUUGGUUUAACUACUAUUAGUGAUCCCAAAUACAGUUACAUACAUGCUACUAAAAACACACAAAGCCAUUGUAUUAGUGGAUAACAAAUUUAAGUUGUUUGAUGGUAAUCCAAUAUGUACACAUUGUUAAUGCUCAUCAUGGCUAACCUUUUAAAUCAUAUAUAAUUUAUACAAACUAGGUACAACAUAAAUGCAUUAUACUUACAAUACAAAUACACUAACAUUACAAUAUAUUACAAUAUAAUUUAAUAUAUUUAUGUUUAUUUUUUCAUAUGCUAUGUCCCUUGGCCAUCCAAUAUGGUGUUUGACCGCUCCCAAGAAUAUAUAUUAAAUUCGAAGGAAUUCGAAAGAUUGUGUUUAAAGUUUGGGCCUUAUAAUUUAGGUUUUUUUUCUUUUUAGGACUCCUCUUGUACAACUGUAAAAGGAAGCGCUCUUGUAGGAAGUCAAGGAAAAAACAAAACAUAGCAUUGAUGGUUAUAACAAGAAGGCACCUUGUUUGAAGAGGAAAAGAAAAACAAAUAUUUUGAUAUAUCAUAUACAGCAAAAGGUACAAGUAAGAAGGAAAACAGGAAAAAAAAAAAAACCAAGAAUCAGUCUCUGGCAUGCAUCCCUAAAUAUUUUCACAUGCUCAUGGCUCCUCUAAACAUCUCUAAUAACUCAACAAGGAUUAUAAAAAGAACCCAAAUAAAGAAGAAUGUAUGAAAAGAAGGUGAGGUGCAACGAUAUGUUUAAGGGUUUUGCAUGCCUCAGCUAGUACUAAAAUCUCAUUAUGUAAACAAGCUCUCACACCAUAAAUCUUAAAAACCAAAAAAUAAAUCACAAGAUGCCUUAUUAUGCAUUUUUGUAGAUAAGACAAAAAUGAUGGAUCAGGAUUGUAAUGGUUUUCAUCCUGAGUUUGAUUUGCAUAAGAACACACUGAUCAACAGCUUCAUGAUUCAGUUGCUCUAGGAAACGAACCAAUUCAAUAUUCCUCAUCAACCAAGACCAUUAUUUUUGAGUAUUUUUUUAAUGCAUUAAUGUUGUGAAUCCAAAUUAGCCAAACAACAAGAAAAAACUGCAAUCUGAAAUGUAAAUCACAGGCAACACACAAGUUGCUAGAACAAAAUAAGACAAUUAAUGGAAUGAAAAUAUCAGUCUCAUUCCCAAAGCCCUGUUCCAUGAAGCAAACAUGGCUUUUAAGGUUUUUAAAAUGAAACCUUUAAGCCAUUAAAGGUAGAGCAUUUUUCUCAAGGACAAGAGCUAGCCAUUAAAGCCAACUUUAUUUAUUGUUAAUUAUAUUUUUUUAGAGUAUUGAAGUUUAAUAAAUCAAAUUCUUUAGUUGUAACUACAUUGCUUUUUCCCAUCUGGUGCAUGCCACUGCCACAACAGGAGGUCCACUACCAGUUACCACAUUACAAUCAACAAAAUCAAUUAUAUGUUCAAACUUGUUUUUGAUUUUUAAUAGAAUCAAAACAGCAGAAAAUACAUCUCAGUUGAUUCCAAGUUUAACUAGGGAUCCAAGAACAUAAGAAAGUAGCUCAGAACAGCAUUUUCUAAGAAAUUUGACCACUGCCAUGAUUACAUUUAUUAAGGAGUUCAAGGAUUCAAUAUUUUUUCUCAUAUAUUUUCCUCCAGCUUCUCGGCAUCCAGACAGAUUACCUAAAUCAACCUCUAUCAGCAGUCAUAAUACUAAAUAAAUUGGCAUAGCCCAAUUCCAAAUGGGUUUCAGAAUUAGACCAAUUGCAUCUAAACAAAACCAUGUUGAUUCAUCAUCAAAUCUUCUAGCUAAUCACAAACACAAGCAAAUACAACAACAGUAAUAACAAUUGCGGGUCCGUUUGGAUGCUGAGAAAGUAGAAAAUAAAAAUUAAAGAAAAAACGUGAACACAAACAAAAACCCAAAUACCCGAUACCCACAUUCUUUGUAAUCUCAAACAAAAUCAGUAGCCUAGAAAUCUUUUCUUAAAAAUGAACUCAAACAAAAAAACACCCAAACAACUCCUCUAACAGAGCCUAGAAAUCUUAAAAUUAUUUUAGGACCUGCAACACGUGAACUCAAAAACCCUAAACAGAGCACUUGCAUAUGUGAACCAAAAUAAAGAAUGAGAGUUUUAGAGAUAGAAGUACUGGGAAAUGAGACUCAAUUGCUCUAUUAAAAUCCUAAAACCCAAAAUAAAUUUGGAUUGAGGGUUACCUUUGAUCAGAGCCUAGAAAUCACAGGCCUCUGGAAGGUUCUUCACCUCAGGCAGCGGCCUCCGAGACCAAUCCGGAUUUUCUGUUUGGGUUGGAUAAAGGGCUCGCUCCGCCUCCCCCCAUGAAAUUGCAGGAUCCAACGCCUCCACCCACGGUUCCAUAUGUGCUUCCCAAGGAUUAUUCAGUGAGAUCGGAUCCAGGAUCGAAGGAUCGCCAUGUUGUUGGAGAUCCAGUGGUGUCCCCCGCGGACUUCCAGAGGCAGAUCCAAAUGGAACAAUCGUCUGGUGACAAUGGCUGGUUCAAUGGUCAAAUUCCUUUUCGUAAGUUGCAACGUGGGAGCAUGCAUUUAAGUUGCAACAAAAGUUUCCUCUAUUUUAGCCUUGAGGACAAGGCUUUUUUGAAGGGAUAGGAAAUGCAACCACCCAGAUCAUGCGAAAAGGAAGCUUUGAUGAGAAGAUGCGAAAGGGAAGGCAUUGGAACGACAGUCUUCUUUUUUUUUUCAAUUCUUUUAUUCGUUAUAAAUUAUAAUUUUAGAAUUUAAUUGAGGGUAAAUUGGUCUAAUAAAAAUGUUAGGCCUUUAGAAGAAUUAUCAAAUUUACCCACCAUUUUCAAUAAUUUUUUUCCCCAGCCUACCCUUAAGGGUAAUUCUCCCAAAAUAAAAACUCUAAAAUUUUAGGGAAAAUCAUAUAACCAUACACCAACUACAAAAAAUAUGAGAUUUUGGAACUUUACUUUUUCCUUUUUAAUUUUGGUGUAAAAUGGGAAAAAAUAUUAUCUAUUCAUGCACUUCAAAUAGUGUUUUCAAAUUUAUUCCACAAUUACCCUUAAAAGUAAAGGACAAAGUACACACCAAUUUAAUACUACCUAUCGAUAAGUAAUGUUAUUUAUUUUUAUUAUUUCUCUCUCACAUCAAUAUAUCUCCAUUACCACUUGUCACGUUCUUUUUUUUUUUCCUCUCUUGCCAUCAUAAUCCAUUACCACUUAUUAUAGUUUUAAUUAUUAUUUUUCUCUUUUUCCUUUAUAUUCUUUUUAAUAUGCUAGUGUAUUUUCACAUAAAACUUCUUUAAUUUUAAUUUAUUUUUACUCUCUAAUUUCUCUAUAUUUAUUGAUUUUAAUUAUUUUUUUGACAUAUUAAACUUAAAAUGAUAAUAUAUAUAAUAAAUAAUUAAUAUAAAAAAUUAAAUAAAAACAAAAUAUAUAAUGGAAAAAAAUGAAAAUAUUAUCCCACAAAUAAUAAUGAUUUUAAAUAUUAAUUAUAAUAAUACAUUUCAUAAAUUAAGGUUUAAAUUUAAAAAUUCAAUUUUAUUAUUUAGAAGUUUAUGAUAUAAGAUUUUUUAUAUUAAUACUAAACAAAAGAUUUAUUUAUUUUGUAAAUUCUAUCACAUGCAAAAGUAAAAAUAUCAUUGUAAUAUUAUUUUAUUAUUUACAUUAUUUUUCUUUUAAUUUUCAUUUUAAAUGUAUCAUAUCAAAAUCACAAUAAGUGAUGGUGUUUUUUUUUAUCAUUUUUCUUAUGAUUUUAAAUUGAUUGUGGAUCUAACUUUUUUUUGUUAAAAUCUUUAAUUUUUAAUUAAAAUAAAAUAUAAAAGAAAAUAUAUUUUUCAUUAAAAAAAAUUGUAUUUAACCUUUUAUAUUAAUUUCAUAAAAAAUAUGUACAUCCUUAAAAAAAAAAAAGGUAAAUUAAUGUUUAAGAGAAUCGGAAACACUAUCAUACUUAUCAUGGUGUAUAUAUAUAUUCCUUUGGGACCCUCGAUAAGUAAUUGGAGGUCUUUGUCCACCCCAAAAAGAACUUUGGGAUCCCAAGUAUAUCCAUUCUUAAAGGAACCAAGACCCCUAUUUUCAUUUUCAUAGUUCAUAUAUUCCUUUAGGGACCCUUGAGAAGGAAUUAGAGGUUAUUCCCCACCCUAAAACGGACAAUAUUGGAACCCAAGGUACAUCCUAAAGACAAUUUCGUACAUCAUUUACAAAAUUUGGUACAUAUUUCAUAAAAUUUGGCACAUCCUUAAAACAAACUUGUACAUCCAAUCCAUGAGCUACCAGGGCCUCUAUAUUAUUACCCGUGGUUUGUUUAUUUCUUUAUGGAUCUUUAGGAAGUAAUUAAAGGCCAUUCCUUACUCCGAAACAAACUUUGGAACCCUAAGUACAUCCUUAAGGAAAUUUGGUACAUCAUUAAGAAAUUUUGGUACAUCCAAUCCUCGGGCUAUCGAGACCCUUAUCUAUCUUCCCAUGGUCCAUAUUAUCCUUUGAGGACCCUUAGAUAGUGAUUGAAGGUCAUUCCCCACAUCGAAACGAACCUUGGCACUAUUAGUACAUUCUUUACAAAAUUUGGUACAUUUUUAAAAAUAUUUGGUACAUGCAAUCCUUGAGUUAUUGAAACCUCUAUCUUAUUACCCAUGGUCCGUUUAUUCCUUUAGGGAUCUUUGGGAAGUGAUUGGAGAUCGUUCGCUACUCCGAAAUGGACUUUAGAACCCGAGGUACAUCAUUGAGAAAAUUUGAUACAUCCAAUCCUUGAGCUAACGGGACACUUAUCUCCAUUUCCAUAAUUCAUUUCUUCCUUUGGAGACCCUCGGGUAGUUAUUGAAGGUCGUUCCCCACCUCAUAACGAACUUUGGCAACAUUGGUAUAUCCUUUACAAAAUUUAAUACAUCUUUUACAAAAUUUGAUACAUUCUUUACAAAAUUUGGUACAUCCUUCACAAAAAUUUGGUUCAUUAUGAAGGAUGUACCAAAUUUUGUGAAGGAUGUACCAAAGGUUCCAAAGUGCGUUCCAAGAUGGGGAUCGACCCCCAAUCACUUCCUUAUGGGUUCCAAAAUGAAAUCAUGUACCAUCCAUGUUCGGAUGGGGGACCUAGAAACAAUAUGAUUAGAUGUACCAAAUUUAAUGAAGGAUGUACCAAAAUUUGUAAAGGAUGUACCAAAAUUUGUAAAGGAUGUACCAAGUGUUCCAAAGUGCAUUCCGAGGUGAGGAUCGGCCCCCAUUACUUCCUUAUGGGUUCCAAAAUGAAAUCAUGGACCAUCCAUGUUCAGAUGGGGGUCCCGAAAACAAUAGGAUAAGAUGUACCAAAUUUAAUGAAGAAUGUACCACAUUUUGUGAAUGAUGUACAAAGGGUUCCAAAGUGCGUUCCGAGGUGGGGAUCGACCCCCGAUCACUUUCUUAUGGGUUCCAAAAUGAAAUCAUGUAUCAUCUAUGUUCAGAUGGGGGACCCGGAAACAAUAGGAUCUGUACCAAAUUUUAUGAAUGAUGUACCAAAUUUUGUGAAGAAUGUACCAAGCAUUCCAAAGUGCAUUCUGAUGAGGGGAUCGGCCCCCAAUCACUUCCUUAUGGGUUCCAAAAUGAAAUCAUGGACCAUCCAUGUUUAGAUGGAGGACCCAAAAAACAAUAGGAUCGGAUGUACCAAAUUUAAUGAAGGAUGCACCAAAUUUUGUAAAUGAUGUACCAAAUUUAGUCAUCCUAAAGGCAUGCCUCUGAUAGAGAGUCAUGCCUAUCUUUUUCUUAUUACACAUAGCUUAACAAAAAUAAGUUUUUCACCCACAUUCAUGCGUCUUCCAUGAAGGUUGUGCUCUUAGGUUGACUAGUGCACAUAACCUACUAAUAUAAUGGUUUCAGCAAUAGGCAUGCCUCUAAAAUCAAGGGUGUGCCCCUAGUUUGCAUACUGCAUAUAGCAUACCAAAAUAAUGUUAUCAUACCCAUGAGCAUGCCUAUGCAACGAAGGGUGUACCCCUACUUUGCCUUCUACAUGUAGCAUAGUAAUAUAAUGUCAUUCACACAUAGGCAUACCUUUGAAAUGGAAGGUGCGACCCUAAAUUGCCUUCUACACAUAACAUACCAAACUAAUGUUAUUGUAUAAAAGAAAUUCCAUUGAUUUUAAGGAUACAGUGUAAAUGUUCGAAUGUCUUCUCAUGGUGUUAAUGGGUCAACCUCCCCUUUACUGACUUCUCACAUAACACGAAGCCAAUCCCCACCUCAAGGAUUUGGUACAUCCUUCACAAAAUUUGGUACAUUCUUCAUUAAAUUUGGUACAUCCGAUCCUAUUGCUUCCGAGACCCCCAUCUGAACAUGGAUGGUCCAUGAUUUCAUUUAGAAAUCCAUAAGGAAGUAAUUGGGGGCCGAUUCCCACCUCGGAAUGCAGUUUGGAACCCUUGGUACAUCCUUCACAAAAUUUGGUACAUCAUUCAUUAAAUUUGGUACAUCCGAUCAUAUGCUUCCAAGUCCCCCAUCUGAACAUAGAUGGUCCAUGAUUUUAUUUUGGAACCCAUAAGGAAGUGAUUGGGGGUUGAUUCCCUCAAAUGCAGUUUGGAACCCCUGGUACAUCCUUCACAAAAUUUGGUAUAUCCUUAACAAAAUUUGGUAAAUCCUUCAUUAAAUUUGGUACAUCCGAUCCUAUUACUUUCGUGUCCCCCAUCUGAACAUGGAUGGUCCAUGAUUUCACUUUGGAACCCAUAAGGAAGUGAUUGGGAAUCAAUCCCUACCUCGGAAUGCACUUUGGAAUGCUUGGAACAUCCUUCACAAAAUUUGGUACAUCCUUCAUUAAAUUUGGUACAUUCGAUCAUAUUGCUUCCAAGUCCUCCAUCUGAACAUAGAUGGUCCAUGAUUUCAUUUUGGAACCUAUAAGGAAGUGAUUAGGGGCCGAUCCCCACCUCAGAACAUAGUUUGGAACCCUUUGUACAUCCUUCACAAAAUUUGGUACAUCAUUCAUUAAAUUUGGUACAUUUGAUUCUAUUACUUCCAGGUCCCCCAUCUGAACAUGGAUGGUCCAUGAUUUCAUUUUUGAACACAUAAGGAAGUGAUUGGGGGUCAAUCCACACCUUGGAAAGCACUUUGGAAUGCUUGGUACAUUAUUCACAAAAUUUGGUACAUUCUUCACAAAAUUUGGUACAUUCUUCAUUAAAUUUGGUACAUUUGAUCUUAUUGCUUUUGGGACCCCCAUAUGAAUAUGGAUGGUCCAUGAUUUCAUUUUGGAACCCAUUAGGAAGUGAUUGGGGGUCGAUCCCCACCUUGGAACGCACUUUGGAACCCUUCGUACAUCAUUUACAAAAUUUGGUACAUCCUUCAUUAAAUUUGGUACAUUCAAUUGUUUCCAAGACCCUCAUCUGAAUAUGGAUGGUCCAUGAUUUCAUUUAGCAACCCAUAAGGAAGUGAUUGGGGGUCGAUCCCCACCUUAAAACGCACUUUGGAACCCUUAGUACAUCUUUCACAAAAUUUGGCACAUUAUUCACAAAAUUUGGCACAUCAUUCACAAAAUUUGGUACAUCCUUCAUUAAAUUUGGUACAUCUGAUCCUAUUGUUUUCGGGACCCCCAUCUGAACAUGGAUGGUCUAUGAUUUCAUUUAGCAACCCAUAAGGAAGUGAUUAGGGGUCGAUCCCCAUCUCGGAACGUAGUUUGGAACCCUUGGUACAUCCUUCACAAAAUUUGGUACAUCCUUCAUUAAAUUUGGUACAUCUAAUCCUAUUGCUUCCGAGACCCCCAUCUGAACAUGGAUGGUCCAUGAUUUCAUUUAGAAAUUAAUAAGGAAGGGAUUGGGGGCCGAUUCCCACAUCGGAACGUAGUUUGGAACCCUUAGUACAUCCUUUACAAAAUUUAGUACAUCCUUCAUUAAAUUUGGUACAUCUGAUCCUAUUGCUUCUGGGUCUCCCAUUUGAACAUGGAUGGUCCAUGAUUUCAUUUUGGAACCCAUAAGAAAGUGAUUGGGGGUCGAUCUCCACCUUCUUGGAACACACUUUAGAACCCUUGGUACAUCCCUCACAAAAUUUGGUACAUCCUUCAUUAAAUUUGGUACAUCCAAUCCUAUUGUUUUCGGGACCCCCAUCUGAACAUAGAUGGUCCAUGAUUUCAUUUUGGAACCCAUAAGGAAGUGACUGGGGGUCGAUCCCUACCUUGGAACGCACUUUGGAACCCUUGGUACAUCCUUCACAAAAUUUGGUACAUCUUUCAUUAAAUUUGGUACAUUUGAUCCUAUUGUUUCCAGGUCCCCCAUCUUAACAUGGAUGGUAUAUGAUUUCAUUUUGGAAUCCAUAAGGAAGUGAUUGGGAGCUGAUCCCCACCUUGGAACGCACUUUGGAACCCUUGGUACAUCCUUCAUAAUGUACUAAAUUUUGUGAACAAUGUUCCAAAUUUUGUAAAGGAUGUACCAAUGUUGCCAAAGUCCGUUAUGAGGUGAGGGACGACCUUCAAUAACUUACCGAGGGUCUCCAAAGGAAGAAAUGGACCAUGGAAAUGGAGAUAAGUGUCCCGUUAGCUUAAGAAUUGGAUGUAUCAAAUUUUCUCAAUGAUGUACCUAGGGUUCCAAAGUCUAUUUCGAAGUAUGGAACGAUCUCCAAUUACUUCCCAAAGAUCCUUAAAGGAAUAAAUGGACCAUAGGUAAUAAGAUAAAGGUUUCGAUAGUGCAAGGAUUAUAUGUAUCAAAUAUUUUUAAGGAUGUACCAAAUUUGUUGAAUGAUGUACCAAAUUUUAUGAAGGAUGUACCAAAUUUUGUAAAUGAUGUAUCAAAUUUUGUAAAGGAUGUGCCAAGAGUGCCUAAGUUUGUUUCGAGGUUGAAAAUGGCCUUCAAUCACCACCUGAGGGUCCUCAAAGGAUAAUAUGGACCAUGAGAAGAUAGAUAAGGGUCCCGAUAGCCCAAGGAUUGGAUGUACCAAAAUUUCUUAACAAUGUACCAAAUUUCCUUAAGGAUGUACCUAUGGUUCUAAAGUUCGUUUCGAAGUAGGGAACGACCUCUAAUUACUUCCUAAAGAUCCCUAAAGAAAUAAACAAACCAUGGGUAAUAAUAUAGAGGUCCCGGUAGCUCAUGUAUUGGAUGUACUAAAUUGUUUUAAGGAUGUGCCAAAUUUUAUGAAAUAAAUACCAAAUUUAAAUGAUGUACCAAAUUGUCUUUAAGAUGUACCUUGGGUUCCAAUGUCCAUUUCAAGGUGGGAAACAACCUCCAAUCCUUCUUGAGGGUCCCCAAAGGAAUAUAUGAACCAUGAGAAUUGAGAUAAGGGUCUUGGUUCCUCUAAGAAUGGAUAUACUUAGGGUUCCAAAGUUCCUUUUGGGGUGGGUGAGGACUUCUAACUUCUUAUUGAGGGUCCUAAAGGAAUAUAUACACCAUAAUAAGUAUGAUAGUCUUUCCGGUUCCCCUAAGUAUGAAUUUACCUUCUUUUUUUUAAGGAUGUACCUAUUUUUUUAUUAAAUUAAUAUAAAAGGUUACAUACAUUUUUUUAUGAAAAAUAUAUUUUCUUAUAUAUUUUAUUUUAAUUAAAAAUUAAAGAUUUUAACAAAAAAAAAGAAAAAGAAGUUAGAUCCACAUUCAAGUUAAAAUCAUAAGAAAAUUGAUAAAAGCACCAUCACUUAUUGUGAUUUUGAUAUGAUAAAUUUAAAAUCAAAAUUAAAAGAAAAAUAAUGUAAAUAAUAAAAUAGUAUUAUAAAGAUAUUUUUCUUUUUACAUGUGAUAUAAUUUACAAAAUAAAUAAAUCUUUUGUUUAGUAUUAAUAUAAAAAAUCUUAUAUCAUAAACUUCUAAAUAAUAAAAUAGAAUUUUUAAAUUUAAACCUUAAUUUAUAAAAUGUAUAUUAUAAUUAAUAUUUAAAAUCAUAGAAUAUAUUAUUUGUGGGAUAAUAUUUUCAUUUUUGUCCAUUAUAUAUUUUGUUUUUAUAUUAAAUAUUUAUUAUAUAUUAUCAUUUUAAGUUUAAUAUGUCAAAAAAAUAAUUAAAAUCAAUAAAUAUGGAGAAAUUAGAGAGUAAAAAAAAUUAAAAUUAAAGAAGUUUUAUGAGAAAAUGCACGAGCAUAUUAAAAAGAAUAUAAAGGAAAAAAAGAAAAAUAAUAAUAAAAACUAUAAUAGGUGACAAUGGAUUAUGGUAGCAGGAAAAAAAAAAAAAAUGGAAACAUGGCAAGUGGUAAGGGAGAUAUAUCGAUAUGUACUUUGUCCUUUACUUUUGAGGGUAAUUGUGGAAUAAAUUUAAAAGCACUAUUGAAGUGCAUGAAUAGACAAUAUUUUUUCUCAUUUAAAACUAAAAUUAAAAACGAAAAGGUAAAGUUUAAAAAUCUCAUAUUUUUUAUAUUUGGUGUAUGGUUACAUGAUUUACCCAAAAAUUUAUUUAUUUUAAAUAAAAAAAAUUAUAUUCACUAAAAAUAGAAAUAAAAUCAAAAUAUUUAUUUCCAUCCGUAUAGUAGCAUCUCCUAAAUAGUUUAACAAACUAGGAGAGACAAAAAAGUGAAGGUUGUUUUGAGUGAACUACGUUGGGCUAUUGGACAAGGGCUACAAAGUGGGCCGCAUUCGGACCACCCACUUCGGGGGCUGAACAAGGCGGAAUGGGUCGGGCGACCCGAUGACCAUAUCCGUUUCCAAAUCUCUUAAACCCUAAACCAAAACCUCUCUUCAACUGAUUCUGAAUUUCCGUUUCGGUGGAUCUUUCAUUAUUCCAGAGGAACUACAUGUAUGUUCAGGUACGGUUUCUGUUUCUACCGUUCUUCAAUUUCGUAAUGAAUCUACUUGAUUCUCUGCUAGGAUUACUUCUGUUGCUCUGUUUGGUUGCCAAGAAAAUGUAGGAAAAGAAAAGAAUUCCGAAAUUUUGAUAUUACAUCUCUCGCCAUUCGGGACGCAAUAUUCAGUUUUACAUUUUCUGCUUUGUUUUUUUUUCCCAAUGACUUCUCAGUAACCAACCGAAAGGUUUUAAAUUUUUGAACAAUUUUCUGAUUGUGUAAACCUGUUGAAGAGAAAAUCUUGGAAAAUGAAAAGAAAAUAUGGAGACUUGUUUAUAAUAUGGUGCAAUGUAAAAACUUUGAACUUUGCAUUGUGUUUUUGUUUCAAAACAUGAAAAAUACAUCUAAUAAAGUAAACUAGUUGAGUGGUUUUUUGGAUCCUCUGGUUUCAAAUAAUGAAAAAAGCAAUAUUCAAAACUUCAAUUUAUUUUGUUUUCCUGCAUUUGAUCAGAAACGAUUUGGGGUGUAAAAUUUGAUAGCUUAAUGUUGUGUUUUUCUUCCUUGAAUGUAUUCAUUUUUAAGCAUAACUACUGAUUUUGGCAUUUUGUGCUCAAGUGCUUGUUAAAGUGAGUGAGAUUGUUCAGGCUUUUGCACUUCAUUGCUGAUACAAGCUUUCAUUUUGAUAUCCAGAUUGGCGCCAACCUGCAAAGGUAGGAACAUUUCAAAAUUUCUGCCACUGCUUAGAAGACAUUACCAAUUAUUUUCAGCAGCCACAAGUUCUCCGCAUUUCUCAUCAUAUGGCCUUGAAAACCAGAAUGAAGAGAUUGAUUUCAAUAGUUUAUUUGAUUCAUGCACCAAAACCCUCCUUGCAAAGCGCCUUCAUGCCCUUCUUGUGGUGUCAGGAAAAAUCCAAAGCAAUUUUAUCUCAAUUCGUCUCGUCAAUCUUUAUGCUAGCCUUGGUGAUGUAUCCUUGUCCCGUGGCACCUUUGAUCAGAUCCAACGCAAGGAUGUCUAUACCUGGAACUCGAUGAUAUCUGCUUAUGUUCGCAAUGGCCAUUUCCGUGAAGCUAUAGAUUGUUUCUAUCAGCUGUUAUUGGUGACCAAGUUUCAAGCUGAUUUCUACACUUUUCCUCCAGUUUUGAAAGCUUGUCAAACUCUAGUCGAUGGGAGGAAGAUACACUGCUGGGUUUUCAAACUGGGUUUUCAAUGGGAUGUAUUUGUGGCUGCUUCCUUGAUCCAUAUGUAUUCUCGGUUUGGUUUUGUAGGUAUUGCCCGAAGCCUGUUUGAUGAUAUGCCAUUUCGAGAUAUGGGUUCUUGGAAUGCAAUGAUUUCUGGGCUUAUUCAAAAUGGAAAUGCUGCACAGGCAUUGGAUGUCUUGGAUGAAAUGAGAUUGGAGGGAAUAAACAUGGAUUCAGUUACAGUUGCAAGCAUUCUUCCUGUCUGUGCACAGUUGGGGGAUAUUUCAACCGCAACACUAAUCCAUUUGUAUGUCAUAAAACAUGGUUUAGAGUUUGAAUUAUUUGUGUCUAAUGCCUUGAUUAACAUGUAUGCUAAAUUUGGUAACUUGGGGGAUGCACAGAAAGUUUUUCAACAAAUGUUUUUAAGGGAUGUGGUGUCGUGGAACUCAAUAAUUGCUGCCUAUGAGCAGAAUGAUGAUCCAGUUACUGCACGUGGGUUCUUUUUCAAGAUGCAGCUAAAUGGACUUGAGCCUGAUUUAUUAACACUAGUGAGUUUAGCUUCUAUUGCUGCUCAGUCUAGGGAUUAUAAAAAUAGCAGGUCUGUUCAUGGAUUCAUCAUGAGAAGGGGUUGGCUUAUGGAAGCUGUUGUCAUUGGAAAUGCAGUUAUGGACAUGUAUGCAAAGUUGGGUGUUAUAGAUUCUGCACAUAAAGUUUUCAACCUAAUCCCAGUUAAAGAUGUGGUUUCAUGGAACACUUUGAUCUCAGGUUAUACUCAGAAUGGUCUUGCAAGUGAGGCAAUUGAAGUAUAUAGAAUGAUGGAGGAGUGCAGGGAGAUUAAACUUAAUCAAGGGACUUGGGUAAGCAUUCUAGCAGCUUAUGCCCAUGUUGGGGCCUUGCAACAAGGGAUGAGAAUUCAUGGGCACUUAAUUAAGACCAAUCUCCACUUGGAUGUUUUUGUGGGUACCUGCCUCAUUGACUUGUAUGGAAAAUGUGGUAGAUUAGUGGAUGCAAUGUGCUUAUUCUAUCAAGUGCCCCGGGAGAGUUCUGUCCCUUGGAAUGCCAUAAUAUCCUGUCAUGGAAUCCAUGGACAUGGUGAGAAAGCUCUAAAGCUAUUUAGAGAAAUGCAAGAUGAGGGGGUUAAGCCUGAUCAUGUGACAUUUAUAUCAUUAUUGUCAGCUUGUAGCCAUUCCGGUUUAGUUGAUGAGGGUAAAUGGUUCUUUCAUCUGAUGCAGGAGUAUGGGAUUAAACCUAGUUUGAAGCACUAUGGGUGCAUGGUAGACUUGCUGGGUCGAGCUGGUUUUCUGGAAAUGGCAUAUGAUUUUAUAAAAGAUAUGCCUUUACACCCUGAUGCUUCCAUCUGGGGUGCCCUUCUUGGUGCUUGUAGGAUACAUGGAAAUAUUGAGUUGGGCAAAUUUGCUUCAGAUCGUUUAUUUGAAGUUGAUUCAGAAAAUGUUGGAUAUUAUGUUCUGUUGUCAAAUAUUUAUGCUAAUGUUGGGAAAUGGGAGGGAGUGGAUAAAGUGAGAUCUCUGGCUAGAGAGAGGGGAUUGAAGAAAACUCCUGGGUGGAGCUCAAUUGAAGUGAACCGCAGGGUUGAUAUCUUUUACACCGGGAACCAAUCCCAUCCUAAAUGUAAGGAGAUAUACGCGGAGUUGCGAAUUUUGACUGCCAAAAUGAAGAGUCUUGGUUAUAUUCCAGACUAUAGCUUUGUGUUGCAGGAUGUUGAGGAGGAUGAAAAGGAGCAUAUCCUCACUAGUCAUAGCGAGAGAUUAGCUAUUGCAUUUGGAAUCAUUAGCACCCCUCCUAAAAGUGCUAUUCGGAUCUUCAAGAACUUGCGGGUUUGUGGGGAUUGCCACAAUGCAACCAAAUUCAUUUCAAGGAUUACCGAGAGGGAGAUUGUGGUGAGGGAUUCAAAACGCUUCCAUCACUUUAAGAAUGGAAUAUGUUCUUGCGGAGACUACUGGUAACAUGGAUUUUUGAUAAUCAAUUGAGAAGACCUCUUGUUUGGAUUGAAGUUGUUGUCACUACAUUGCUCAAACCUCACCUGAUAGCUACACAGCCUUCAGCGUUAAUGCAGGCCUUAGAUAAUGACAGUAAGUUGAGGUUUGUUCGUUGUUAAUGCUAGCUUAGUGAUUAAUGAGGGCCAUCGCACAAGAUAAGGUAUAAAUGACUGGCUUCACAUUUUCAAGGAUUAUUAAGUUUGAUAUCCAGGCACCGGGAAAUCAAGCUUGAUUGCAGCCAUGGCCAAUUAUCUCAAGUUCGACAUCUACGAUUUGGAGCACAAUAGCAUUCACUCCGAUAACAAACUCAGGUAGAUAUUGGUGUCAACUACUAGUGAAUCCAUGAUAGUGAUGAAGGAUAUUGAUUGUAAUGCGGAGACUCGAUAUCGUGAAGACUCUUUGAACCAAUAUGAAACCACCAAAGCUCUAGGUUAGUAAUUCAACUGAUCAUCAUCAUUUUGUAAAAUAAAUCAUGAAUUUGUACAAAACCAUGGUUUUUAAUUGGGUUAUGUACACUUUUCAAAUGAAUGAAAAUUGAAGCACUCAGGAAUUCGAAUGUUACUUUGUUUUUCAUCUAGCUGACACUAUCGGGCAUACUAAAUUUCACUGAUGGGUUAUGGUCAAGUUGCGGAGAGCAGCGAAUCAUUGUGUCUACCACAAACCACAAGGAUCGACUUGAUCCUGCUCUGCAGCGGCGUGGUCGCAUGGAUAUGCAUAUUUACAUCUCUUAUUGUACUUGCAUGGUUUUAAGACCUUAGCUUCCAAUUACCUUGGUGUUACUGACCACCCACCCACUCUUUGGGGAGAUUGAAACCCUCUUCAAAAAUACGGAGGUUAGUCAGGCAGAAAUUGGGGAGGAGUUAAUGAAGAGAAAUGAUGCUGAUGUUGCACUUGUAGGACUUGUUGAAUUCAUCAAUGGAUUAAAAUGGAUCCUUUUAAGACUUAAAGAUCAAACAAAUGAUCAUCAUGAUCAAGAGGGCAGCAAUUUGGAUUUGUUUGCAUCAGAGUUGCAGUGGAAAAACUCCCAAGUUGACUUCAUAUGAAUUACUUUAACAAAACCUGUUAAGAAAAAGGAGGAUGGGCAAUGAAGAAAAUCCACUAUGUUAAAAACUGGUAUAAGAGAGGAGAGAAACGAGUGGCUAUUGCAUAGGUACAGGCAUCAUAAUCCUAAAUCCUAUAAAUCAUCACACAUAUAUAUACACGUCGGAGAGAAAUAAAUAAAGCAGGUCUAUAUCCUCCCCUAUCACGACAGACCUCUAAAAAAUCUCAUAAUUUUUCUUAAUCAUAUAUGUCGCAUCGUGAGCUUUUUGAAUCAAAUCAAAUAAAGUUCGGGUCAUCAAGUUCUAACAAAACCAAAAAAGGCAGCCCCACUAUGCCCUUCCCAUUGUUUUAUUUUUAUUAAAUAAAAUACUUUAUAGAUUUUUUUAAUAAUUAACAUAUUUCAAGUUUAUUAAAUUGUAAAUAUUAUGUGGUUGUUAAAUUUGUGACAGCUUGGGAAAAGAAUUAGAAUGUUUAACGAGAAGAGGGAAUAUAUAUAUUUUUUUUUUCUUAAAAAAAUAAAAUGGAAGGUAGAAGUUUUUGAGGGGUGGGUUCCUUCUUUAUUUGAGUUUGAUAAUUUUUCAAAAGAUAUUUUAACAAACUUAAAAUAUAAAAAAAAGAAUUUAAAACUAAGAAUAAUAAAAUUAAAAUUAAAGGACAUACAUUUAUAUGCGUUACAUUUAUUGGGAAUCACAGUGCAGUGGAAAUAAAAAUAAAAAAAUUAAACUUAAAACUUAGAUUAAAAUGUGAAAUAAAACUAAGAUAGAGAUUACAGUGGGAGGACCAAAUCCGGAUAGUGCUAACAAAAUUAGGGCUCCACACAAGAUAAUGCUAUCCUAGUAGUAGAGAUGGCAAAUAAUCUAAGGAAAGCAUUGCCUCUAACAACUUCACACUUUACAAUAAACCUAUGUAUAUGUUGGAUGUUUGAUGCUCCGUUACAAUAGUUAGUGUUAGACAUUUGAUGCUUCAUUGUAAUGAACUUUCGAGACUAGCAUAAAAGGGGUUCAAAACAUAUCAACAUGGAGUAUUUAGAAUACCAUAAAAUAAGGUAUAAAUAGAGGCUUUUUGAUAUCUCACAUGAGGAAAAAGUCUGAUGUUAUGAUUUUUUUUUUUUUUAAUUUUAUAAACACAUUUUAAAACCGUAAAGGUCUUUUGGAUCUAAAAUAGACAAUAUUUACACAAUUAAGAGUAGAUCGCUAUAGGCUUGUACAUGAGGCUUGA